rnacentral:lncRNA from 1 species
CUUGCUAGAUGAUUUCUCUACCGAAGCUUUGCGGAAAGAUCUAAUGGGUGGGAACAAGCUGACGAAAGAGGUACGCCUUUUCUUCUCGAGCUCAAACCAGUUUGCUUACGGUCUCAAAAUGGGUCGAAAAUUAAGACCAUUAAGGCCAGGUUGUUUUCAAUUGCAAGUGAAGCCAAGGUGUUCAACUUGGUAGAGCGUCACCGUCCCAUGGAAACCUCUUUCAUGACUAAAAAGAGGCAGCAAACGCACUCUUUUGUGCCUAAAGAUAAAAUAAUAGGGAGGGACGAUGAUAAAGCAGCUCUUCUAAAACUCGUGUUAGAGUUUUGAAAGUGAAGAGACUGUUUACAUCAUUCCAAUUGUGGGGUUUUGGAGGGUUAGGGAAGACUGCUUUGGCUCAAUUUGUCUAUAAUGAUGAAAUGGUCAAAAAUCAUUUUGAGUUGAUGAUGUGGGUGUGUGUUUCAGAUGUUUUUGAUGUCAAAAUAAUUGUAGAAAACAUUAUCAAAUCUGCAACAGGCAAAUCACCCGAUCAAAAUCUCGAAAUGGACCAACUGCAAAAACAACUUCGGGAAAAAUUUGGUGGGAAAAAAUAUUUGCUUGUUUUGGAUGACAUUUGGAAUGAAAAGUGGGAAAAAUGGGUUAGUUUAAAAGAGUUAUUAGUAGGUGGGGCUAAAGGAAGUAGGAUAAUAGUAACUACUCGCUCUUUGGGAGUAGCAAAGAUUACUAGUAAAUGUCAGCCUUAUGUUCUGAAAGGCUUGCCUGAUAAUGAUGCUUGGUCUUUGUUCAAAGAGAUAGCAUUUGAACAAAGAUCGGCCAGACUCAACAGAUUCAGGCUUUGUGGAAAUGGGAAAGCUGAUUUUUGGAAAGGUGUUGUGGAGUUCCCUUAGUCAUAAGGACGAUAGCUGGUACGUUAUCUUUCAAAGAAACUAAAAGUGAGUGGCUUUCUUUUUAAAGAUAACGAACUUGCUAGAAUAUCUCAGAACGAAGGUGAGAUAUUACCUACACUUAAGUGAGUUAUGAUCAUCUCUCAUCCCAUUUGAAGCAUUGUUUUGCUUAUUGUCGACUAUAUCCAAAAGAUCAUGAAAUUGAUGUACAAGAACUUGUUCAAUUUUGGAUUGCACAAGGUUUUGUAAAGCAAUUGAAUCCAAGUCAAUCUCUUGUGGAGAUCGGAUUUGGAUAUUUUAAAGAUUUAGUUGAAAGAAGUUUCUUUCAAGAGGUAGAAGAAUAUGGAUUUGAGGAUAUGACAUGUAAAAUGCAUGAUUUAAUGCAUGAUCUAGCUGAAUCAGUAGCAGGGAUGGAGAGUAGUAUUGUAGAUUCAAAUAAAAUUGCAAGUGAUGUUGGUGAAAAAUGUCGCCACAUAUCAAUUAAACCUUCAUUAAUUCCUUUGUUUAAGGGAAAGAAGUUGCGAACCUUGUUACAUUUUCAAUACGAAUUAAGUCAAGAUUUCAGCUAUGAAACUUGGGAUUUGAUAAUUGCAAAUUGCAGAUGCUUGCGUGUAUUGAAAUUGAAUUCUAUAGGUAUUCAUAAGAUUUCACCCUCCAUUUGUAAGUUGAAACAUUUGAGGUACCUUGAUCUUACUUAUAAUCCCGGACUUAAGAUUCUCCAGAGAGUAUUUGCAAGAUUCAGAAUUUGCUAGCGCUGGAACUUGACAGCUGUCAUAUUCUUAAAGAAUUGCCAAAGAAGAUUGAAAAAUUGGUGAAUCUUACCCAUCUUUCUUGUUCUUUUUGUUGGGAAUUAACUCAUAUGCCACGUGGAAUAGGGAAGCUGACUUCACUUGAGACGUUAAGCACGUUUGUAGUGGAUAAAGAUGGGUCCCAUGGCGGUGCAGAUCUAAGUGAAUUGAGACUGCUUAACAACUUAAGGGGAGAGUUAAGAAUAGCAAAUUUGGGAUUCGUAAAAAAUGCAAAAGAGAAGUUUAAGGCUGCUAAUUUGAAAGAGAAGCAACAUUUGAGAUCGUUACAUUUACAAUGGAAUGCUGAUGAAGAUGAUGAUGAGAAGUCACUUGAAGACCUCCAGCCCCAUCCUAAUCUCAAGGAGUUCUAUAUUGCAGAAUGGAGGGGUGAUGCCAAGUCUCCAAGUUGGCUUUCUUUUCUAACAAAUCUCGUUUAUAUGACAAUAAUUCAGGGUAAUUUCAAACAAAUCCCGUCCUUUGUGCAAUUUCCUUGUCUUAAAGGGCUGACCAUAGGUGAUUGUACUAAGCUGGAGUACAUGGAUGAUAAUAGCCCAAAAGGAAGUCAAGGAGAACCACAAUCAUUCUUCCCAUCACUGAAGCAUCUUUCGCUCUUUAACUGUCCGAAUAUGAAGAGUUGGUGGAGGACGACAAAACCAAUCGAUGAUGAUUCCAACGAGGACGACACAACAGUUAUGGGAACAUCAACCAUGGGAUUUCCUUGUCUUUCCUCUUUAUUAAUUAAAAAUUGCCCUUUGACAUCAAUGCCGCUGUAUCCAUCACUCGAUGAAGAUCUAAUGUUGUCGAAUACCAGUUCAAGGCCGUUAAAGCAGACUAUCAAGAUGAACAUCAAUGCUAAGGCCCCAUUAACUUCAACCUCUUCUCUUCCACUCUCCAAAUUGAAAUCUUUCGAUGUACGCAAGAUUGAGGGGUUGGACACUCACACACUAGAUGAGUGCCUGCAACAUCUCACCAGCCUCAAAAGAUUAACAAUAAGAGAUUGCAAGGAGGCUGAUUUAGAGGGCAUGCAAUGGGAACCCCUUAAGAAUCUCUCUCAUUUGGAGAUUGAUAAUAUUCCAAUGCUGGUGUCUCUCCCCAUUGGGCUUCAACAUCUUGUUCAAUUGAAAAGAUUAAAAAUUCAUAACUGCAAUGGAUUGAGGUCACUGUUUCCUGUGUUCCAACAUCUCACUUUCCUUGAAGAGUUUGAAGUAGAGGACUGCAAGGAGCUGGAGUUAUCUGGAGCUGGCAUCCAAAUAUUCCAAGAUCAUACAAGCUUACACUCUCUACGGCUGCAAAAUAUUCCAAAGUGUCGGCAUCUUCCGGAUUGGCUUCAACACCUAACAAAUCUGCAACGGCUUUAUCUCGUAAAUUUGCCCAAUUUAACAUCUCUUCUGGACGAGAUGCGUUGCCUAACCAGUUUGGAGUAUUUACACAUACGAGAAAUUCCUCAGUUGGAGGAAAGAUGUCGGAAGGACAUUGGCGCUGAUUGGCAAAAGAUUGCUCACAUCCCCAACAUUGUGUUGUAUCAGGUUGGUCCGUCUUUGUUAUUUAUUUAUUUUGAUGACCUUAUCUGUUUUUGAAGAAAAAUAAGUGGUAUAUUGAAUCUCCAAGUCAGGGGUCUGAUGCCAUUUUUCAUUGAAGUUGGAUACUGUUAAUUUCCUUGUUAAAAUCCCUUGUUUUAAUCCUACUUUUUACUUAUCAUCUUUCAUAAUAUUUUUUGCUGAUUUGUGCAGUAAGGCAUUGGAGAAAGGCAUUACUGAACUUCAAUCAUUUUAUAUACAUAAAAAGAGGUGCUAAUUUAUCUAUUUGCUUCUAAUAAUUUAAUUCUAAAAAAUCAUUGAUGUGGAGAGAGUGGCCUAUGAAGCCUUCAAAAUGGUUGUACUAUAUGCUCUGCUUUCUUCAUUUAAGCACUUACCUAUCAUAUCUUUAUAUAUCUUUAUGUUUUCUCUUCAUGUAUGCCAACUGAUUGCUAUCUUAGAUGGCACCUAUGCUAUUGACAGGCUUUUGGAGGUACUCAAAUUCAUAAUAUUCAUUGACGCAGGGCACUCUUUUAACUGUUUGGAAUUCCAGCCAAAUUUGUUAUUGAAGGUCCAAACAGGAAAAAAAGGAGGAUGCUUCAGAAUAUUUGGUGGUGAGGUUGAAGUUGAUAAAAUGUUUCAUUAUUUAUAUAUCAACAGCAUUAUACUAAACACACAUAAGUGCAAAUAUAAGGCUGAUAAUAAUGGGAUUUGUAACGUAUUCUAUGUUGGCAUUUAUAAUUUUCAGGUUCAUUGAUGCUUUUGGAAGAGUCAUUGUUCAAGCAUGACAAUUGCCAGACAUAUUGCAUUUCAAAAUUUAUGAUUCCACUUUACAUGGAGCUUAUUAAGAGCUUGAUUCAUAGUAGAAAAACCAUUUGAGUGUUGAAUGUGAAUUUCACUUGCAUAGCUAAAAUGAGUAGGGAGAGAAUUUGCAUCAAGUGUUUGAGGGGUUAAGCUUAAAUCAUUUCUUUAUUGAAGUUCAUAGUGGAUUCAUCUUUGGGCAAAGCCCCGCAGACGUAGGAUGAGUUCCGAACUGCGUAAACAUAUUAAUUGUGUUUUUUAUUUUCCUUGUUGCAUAAUAUGUACCAACUCAGGAAAAAACACAUUUUUAAUGUUCCAAACAGUAUUCAAAUGCAAGGAUGCACAAUUGAUUAUGAGACAAAUUCCUCCGUUGGAAGGACAUUGGCGCUGGUUGGCAUAAAAUUGCUCACAUCCCACGCAUUUCACUGCAUCCCUAAGAAACAAAUGGAAAUACCUCACACAUUAAAAUACAGACAUCACAAUUUCACUGCAGAAACAAAUAAUGCUACUCAUAAUUUAUCCCCUAAGAAACUUAGCCACCAUGAAAAGCUCUAUUUGUGAACAGAUCAAAAGAUCACACACACAAAAAAAAGAAAAGCAAAUGACAUGAAGUGUUAAGUGAGUACAAUUCUCAUCAAAAUUGAAAUAAUAUACUACUAAUUACAUGAUAGCCACCGUUUUCAAAAGAGAAUUUUUGAACUCACUGGAGAUCUCACAACAAUUGCUUCAACUUCUUGAUCGGCGGCGAUUCCACGACUAUUACUAGAUGAAAAUCUGUUGUAAUCAUUGGGAUGAACAAAUGGCGGCUUCGUCGAAUCGAAGGCCAGGUGACGACUUAUCGGCAAAACAACCGGAGGAACCGUCGAAUCUGGUACUGCUGAAGCCGUAGGAGGAGGUUGAUACGGCAGCGUGAGACCAUGCCGGACAUGAAGGUUUAUGAUAUCGUGGGGAGACAAGGAGGGUAUAAUAGCAAUAGGGAAAUAGGAAGAGAGAGAAAGUGAGGGUUUUAGUUCAGACAUUAGAGAGAGAGUAGAAAAGGAGGGAAAAGAGAGUGAAUCUUUUUGUAUAUAAUUAUAAGUUAAUGUGCUAAUUUCAUUUGUUUUUACCUUUUUGAACUCUUACUUUUUUUCAAUUUUUCAAUUUCAUCCUAAAAUAAACUUCAAAUAUGUAUAUAAGGGUUAAAGUACUGGUACUAUAGGGACUGCAUACAACUUAGCCCCUCACCAUUAAAUGGUUAAUUUAUUACCUGUACUAUUAAAAUUGAUCAAAUAAAGUUAAAUUAUAACAAAGUCAACAUUUGUUUUAUUCAUUAUUUUGAAACUUUUAUAGGUAAAAAAAAAUUACUAAUAAUUUGGUGAUCAUUUUGUAAUUUUUUACAUAGUUGAAUGAUUUUAAUACGGUUUACCCAAAACAGAAUAUUAACGACGUCAAAUAGAAAACGAGAAAACAAAUUUAAAACAAAGAUAAACAAAACGAUGUACUUAACGACGUUACUUCCUUCUUCUCCAACCAAAACGCCGUCGCUUUGUUCCCCAAACGUAAAACAUGGUGGGACCAUUUCCAACCAUAUUCUCAAUUUAUUAAUUAUUUUUUAAAAUUAAUUUAUAAAUUCUAAAAUAUUUUAAUUAAGUUUUGAAAGUAUUAGUAUUAUAUCAAUAAAAUCAUUUCAUUUUUGUAGCUGUCAAUUUAGGUUUUAAAUUUCUGUUCUCAUUUGACAUGGAUUAAAUUGUAAAUACUUGUGUACUCAUCAUAUUGGUAACUUGAUUCUAACAUAUUAAAAACACGACGAGAGUAUAAAAUUUAAGAGGAUUAUUUCUUCUUCUUUUUUUAACACAUUAGAUUAAACAAAAUGCACACUUUUAAGAUAUUAAAUUAAUGGAUUUUUAUAUUUGAUGUAUCAUAUAAUUAUAUUAUACACACAAUAAUAUCACUUUAUUAAAACAAUAAAAUUAUUUAUUCAUUAAAAAUAUAAUAAUAUGAUAUCGUUUGAUUCAUUAAUUGUUAAAUAAAAUUCUUAAAUUAUUUAGCUUUAUCCCCUGACAUAUAUUUUAGUUGUAUCUCGCCCCUCCAUCAAGCCAUUUUGUGUACAUUAUGUGGACUAUGAUUUAAUGAAAGGGCUUCACGCAACACCCAUUGAGCAAUUCCAAGAGUAAUGAAUGCUUAGCUUAGCUCCAUUCAAUUACCAAGUGUUGAGGAUAUGACAAUAUGGAUGCCCUGCAACAAUUACAACCCUUUUUAACAUCUAUUCCAAAGCUGGUGUCUCCCCCCCUUGGGCUUCAACAUCUUUUUCGAUUGAAAACAUUGGGAAUUCAUGAAUGCCAUGGAUUGAGGUCACUCUUUCCUGUGUUCCAACAUCUCACUUUCCUUGAAGAGUUUUCAAUAAGUAACUGCAAGGAGCUGGAGUUAUCUGCACCUAACUUCCAAAUAUUCCAAGAUCAUACAAGCCUGCGCUCUCUAGCGCUGGCAAAGAUUCCAAAGUGUCGCCAUCUUCCGGAGUGGCUUCAACAUCAAACAAAUCUGCCAAGGCUUAUUCUCUGUGAUUUGCCUAAUUUAACAUCGCUUCCGGACGAGAACCAGUUUGGAAGAGUUCUUUAUGAAACGAAUUCCUCAGUUGGAGGAAAGAUGUCGGAAGGGGAUUGGUGCCGAUUGGCAUAAGAUUGCUCGUAUCGCUACGGGUUGGUAUAUUGACUCUCCAAGUACCGCCUCUACAUGCUUAUGCUCCCAUUACUACCAUCCAUAUAUUCGCUACACAUUUUCUUUUUCAACUUUAAUUUUAAUUCCUUUGUUUAAGGGUUGGGUUUAGACUUCAACAUUCAAGGACUAUAUUUUAUAUAAAUGAAAAUAAUAAAAUAUAAUAAAAUUAUUUAUAUCAAAUAAUAAUUAAAAAUAUAUUUAUGAUAAUAAAUUUACAUGUAUUUAAUAUAUCAUUAUAUAAAUAUUAAUUUGUAAUAUAUUUAAUUUUUAUAACAAUUAAAUAAUUAAAUUUAUAAUUAUCAUAUGAUAUGUACUUAUAUAACACCUCUAGUAGGUUAUAGUGAGGAAAACAAUCUCAUUGCAGGUUAAAUUUUUAAGAAAAUCUUUUAUGUUCAGUUUGGUGCAAUAAAAUCAAGUGAUAUUAGUUUAAUUCGAUUAUAUUUUUUUAUCCGUCCAUUAUAAUUUAGUUUAGUUCAAUUUUUUAUUAUAAAUUUUUAUAAUUAUUUUAAUAAAAUAAACUUUAUUUUACGGCUUUUAAAUAUCAUUUGACAAAUUUUCAAAGUUUUUUUCAUAGAUAUUUUUUAAAAUUUUUUAAGUAGAUAAAAAUAAUUAAAUACUUUUAUAUAAUAUUUUUAAAAUUUAUUUAUUUAUUUUCACUAUUUUUAAAUAUAAAAUAUUUAUUUUUAUAUUAUAAAAAAUAAAUUUAUUUAUAAAUUAAAAUAAAGAAUAGAAUUUGGUUCGGUUUCAAAUAAUUGUGAUUUUUUAAUUUGUAUUCCAUAAACCGUCUAAACACCUUGAUUUAGAUCAAUUUUUAAUUAUUUUUAUUUUAUUUACUCAACCCUACUCACGAGAGGUAAAUAAUCAUAUAAAGGAGAACUAACAUGUUUAAAAGAAUCUGAACAAAUUAUAUUUAGGCUCUCUUUAUAUAGACUGUGAGAUUAGCUCUAAUGAGGUUGAAAACAUAUAUAACAAUAAUAAGAUUAGAAACUAUUCCGCACCAUCUUGAAUUUUAGCACUAAAAAAUACAAAAAAAAAAAAGGAGAAGAAAAACAACCAUUUUUUUUGCCAUAAUGAUUCUUUUGGUCUCCAACUUUAUAUAAAAAGUUAUUUCAACUCUCCAUUUAAUUUUUCGUUUCUUUUAGUUCUUAAACUUGUAAUUUUUGUCAAAUCACCCCAAAAUGAGUGAAAAAUUAACAUAUAUUGAUUUUGCUAAUGUAGCAUACACGCGGAUUGCCAUGUAUAUGCCACAUAAGCAAUUAAUUAUUUUUUUAAAAAAUUCAAAAAAAUAUAUUAAAAAUUAAAAAAAUUAUAAGAAAAUAUUUUUUAGUAUUUUUUAAAAAUAAUUAAAUGCUAACGUGACAUACACGUGGUAAUCCACCUAUAUGUCAUGUCAACAAAGUUAACAAACGUUAACUUUUUCAUCCAUUUUGAAUGGUUUGACAAAAAAAUGUAAGUUCAAAGACUAAAAGAGAAGGAAAUUAAAUAGAGAGCUAAAAUAAUUCAUUUAUAAAAUUGGAAUGCCAAAAAGUUAUUAUACUUUUAUUUUUCAAAAUAAUAAAAUUUCUAUUAAUAACACUUUAAACAUAAGUGCAUCUGCAUUUGCUUCAUGAUUGUUCUUUCUAUAAAUUCACCAUAAUCAUGUUAAACAAGUAAUUUAAUUAGUGAGGUUAAGUAUUGUAACAGUGAGAUUAAAGUUAAUUGUAGAAUAUGUAUAUAAAUUCAAAUGUAAAUAUACCGAUAAAAUGAGAAUAAAAAAUCACUAUUAAAGCGGAAUUAGAUGCCCUCAUCGAUGGUUUUCGGUGGCUUGCUCAAUUUAUUAAAGCCAAUAAUGUCAUUUUUGAAAUAGAUUGUGCUAGCAUUAUCAACCGCUUUAGUUUUCACAAGGAGGACAUAACGAUCCUUGAUCACUGCAUCAAGGAGCUCACAAGAUGCUUGAUUCUUUGGUUUCUUUCGAGGUCAAAUGGGUGAAACAUGGUUAUAACAAAUUAGCCAAUUCUCUUUGUAAUUAGGCUCUUUCUAAGUGUAGUAAUUUAUCUUUUGAGAUGAAUUAUCCUAGCGAUCGAUAUUCAUAACAUUGUAAUUUAUGAUGCAACUUAAAAUGAGGUAGUGACCUUUGGGUUUUUUUAUUAUUAUAAAAAAACACUAUUAAAUAUAUUAAGUUAAAAUACAUGUAUAUGUAAAAUAAAUAAUUAAAAAUAUAUUUAAAAAUAAAAUAUCUUAAAUAAACAAACCAAAAUCAUCCAAUUCACAAUAAAACAAUUAUAUGUGUAUUAAAAUAAUAAAAUAGAUAUGAGCAGUGGAAGCAAUCUUCAUGAUGGUAUAAGUAAUGAUUUUUCCUUCAAUACCAAUUAAAUACAUUCCCAUGGAGCUGACAUAAGCCCAAUAUCUUUCCACAUGUGGUGUUAAAAAAUGAAAUUAAUUUUUCUUUUGUUGGCAAUAGUAGCCGAGCUAAAAAAAAUUUUAGUGGGAAUUAAAUUAUAUAUUUUUAUAGUAAUAUAUAUUUAUAAUUUUUAAAUAGUUAAAUUAAAUUUUUAUAAUUUUUUUAGAUGAUCAAAUUAUAAUUUUAUCAUUAUUAAUUUAAAAUUUUAUAAAUUAUAAAAUGUCUAAAUUAAAAAUUUACCAUUUUAGGAGUCUCUACUAGGUUUCGCCGGUGAUAGGCAACUUGUCAAGAAUGACCAUCCAAGCUAUAACAAAAUGUUUUGGGAUAUGCUAAAUCAACCUCUUACAUUUUACUUUGAUAUAUUGCAUAGACAAACAAUUAUAUUAAUCCAAUGUAAAAAUAUAUAUAUGUAUGCAUUUUUUUACAUAUGUAAAGUUGAAUCAGAAUUAAAAUUUCAUGUGAAAAUUAUACCACAUCAAAAUUCAUGUAUCAAAUUACUCAUUGAACAAAAAUUCAUGUAUAAAUUCAAAUUUUUUCCCCUAAUAAUAAACAAAUCAAAAGCUUCGAUCCUUUCUUAAUAAAUAUAUGUAUAUUUAAAAGAAAAAUAAAAUGCUACUACUAUUAAUAACAAAUAUGUCUUGACUUGCAAGGAAUGGUAGUUAGAACUCUUAUCAAUACCUGUUUGACACAGAUUCAAACAAUAUUACCUCCAUCCCCACUCUUAAUAUUAUAUAAAAAAAUUAAUAGCAAAUAUAAUUAACAUACCCAUUAAUAUAAAAAAAUUUGAUAAUAAGGGUAUACUAAAAUAGUAAUGAACAGUAACUAUUGUCGUAAUAUAUAAUUAUAGACACCAAGUUACUUUAAAAGACAAAAUCAAAGCUAAGUAGGUAGGUGAGAAAUGUGAACAUGAUAAUCACUUGUAAGUUAAUUGAAUUCGAUUCAAAAAAGAUUUAAAUUUGAUUUAGUAGUCAUUAAGUUAUGUUUAAAUUAUUGAUUUAAUCGGAUUGGGAUUUAAUAAAAUUUGAUUCUAAUGGUGAAUGAGUUUUAUUGAAUUUUUUAUUUUAUAUAUUCAACCAAAGUUAAACUCAAAAAUAAAAUAUUGAAUUUAAGUUAAACUCGCGCAAUUACACAAAGUAAGUGGGAAGAAGGUUUAGAAAGACUUCAAUCAAAACACCUUGGAUUCCAUGGGAUUUGUCUCCUUUUUCUCUUUUCUUUCGUAGCCUUUUCAUUAAUUUCAAUUAUUUCUACGGCUCCACAUUGUGCAGAGCACCCCAAGUGUCAUCAUCCCAACUUUGCCUCCAUUCAGAAAUUUGUGUCACAUGGAGGGACCAUUUCCCACCAAUCAACAGUACUUUAACAUGGAGGGACCAUUUCCCACCAAUCAACAGUACUUUUUAUUUAAUUAUACUACUUACACAAAGUGGGAAGAAGGUUUAGAAAGAAUUGAAUGCAUGGGCCUCAAUCAAAACACCUUGGAUUCCAUGGGAUUUGUCUCCUUUUUCUCUUUUCUUUCAUACCUUUUUCAUUAAUUUCAAUUAUUUGUACGUUGUGCAGAGCACCCCAAGUGUCAUCAUCCCAACUUUGUCUCCAUUCAGAAAUUUGUGUCACACAGUAAACAUGGAGGGACCACUUCCCACCAAUCAACAUUACUUUUUAUUUAAUUAUACUACUUGCUGGGUGGAUGGAUUCACAUCUGUGUUUCAUCUUGUUGGAAUCAUUCUCAUUUUAGUCCUCCUCUUUCACUAAUCAAACACUUUUUGCCUCGAUUUCAGUUUGAACCAACAAUGGCCGAAGCAAUUGCUUUCGACAUUGCCGCAGAGCUCAUUCUUAAGUUGAGCUCUCGUGCUCUCUCUCAAGUUGGGCUGUGGUGGAAUCUAAAACAUGACAUCCUCGACCUCAAACGCACUGUCUGCCAAAUCAAAGCUGUGCUUCUUGACGCAGAAGAGAAAUCGGUGACCGACAAUCUCGUCAAAGGUUGGCUUGAAGAGCUGAAAGAUGUACUUUAUGAUGCCGACGACUUGCUCGAUGAUUUCUCUACUGAAGCUUUGCGGAAAGAUCUAUCGGGUGGGAACAAGCUGACGAAAGAGGUACGCCUUUUCUUCUCAACCUCAAACCAAUUUGCUUAUGGUCUCAAAAUGGGUCGGAAAAUGAAGGCCAUUAAGGCGAGAUUAGCUUCAAUUGAAAGGGAGGCCAACACUUUUGGCUUCAUUCCGCGUGAUCGCCCCGCGGAAACCUCUUUCAUGACUAAAAGGAGGCAGCAAACGCACUCUUUUGAGCGUGACGAUGACAUAAUAGGGAGGGAUGAUGAUAAAGCAGCUCUUCUAAAACUCGUGUUGGAGUUUCAAAGUGAAGAGAAUGUUUAUAUCAUUCCAAUUGUGGGGUUUGGAGGGUUAGGGAAGACUGCUUUGGCCCAACUUGUCUAUAACCAUGAAAUGGUCAAAAAUCAUUUUGACUUGACGAUGUUUGCGUGUGUUCCAGAUGAUUUUGAUGUGAAAGUUAUUGUAGCAAACAUUAUCAAAUCUGUGACUAAUCAAGCACCUGAUCAAAAUCUUGAAAUGGAUCAAUUGCAAACACAACUUCGAGAUAAAAUUGAUGGAAAAAAAUAUUUGCUUGUUUUGGAUGACAUUUGGAAUGAGGACCCAGAAAGGUGGUCUAGGCUAAAGAAGUUAUUGAUGGGUGGGGCUAAAGGGAGUAGGAUAAUAGUAACUACUCGAUCUCUAAGGGUAGCGGAGAUAACUAAUAAAUGUCAAUCCCAUGUUUUGAAAUUGAAAGGCCUGUCUGAUGAUGAUGCUUGGUCUUUGUUCAAAAAGAUAGCAUUUGAGCAAGGAUAUGCAGACUCAACAAAUUCAGCCUUUGUGGAAGUAGGGAGACAGAUUUCGGAAAGGUGUGGUGGGGUUCCCUUAGCCAUAAGGACGAUAGCUGGUACAUUAUCUUUGAAGAAAACUGCAAAUGAGUGGCAUUCUUUCAAAGAAAAUGAACUUGCUAAAAUAUCACAAAUUGAAGAACUUCUACCUAUCCUGAAAUUGAGUUAUGAUCAUCUCCCGUCUCAUUUGAAGCAUUGCUUUGCUUAUUGCCGAUUGUAUCCAAAAGAUUACAGAAUUGAAGUACAAGAGCUUGUUCAAUUUUGGAUUGCACAGGGUUUCAUAAAGCAAUUGAAUCAAGGUCAAUCUCUCGAGGAGAUCGGAUUUGGGUAUUUUAAAGAUUUAGUUGAAAGAAGUUUCUUUCAAGAGGUAGAAGGAGACUUGAUGGAAGAAAUGACAUGUAAAAUGCAUGAUUUAAUGCAUGAUGUAGCUGAAUCAGUAGCAGGGAUGGAGAGUAGUAUUGUAGAUUCAAAUAAAAUUGCAAGUGAUGUUGGUGAAAAAUGUCGCCACAUAUCAAUUAAACCUUCAUUAAUUCCUUUGUUUAAGGGAAAGAAGUUGCGAACCUUGUUACAUUUUCAAGACAAAAUAAGUCAAGAUUUCAGCUAUGAAACUUGGGAUUUGAUAAUUGCAAAUUGUAGAUGCUUGCGUGUAUUGAAAUUGACUAAUUUGUUAGGUAUUCAAAAGAUUUCACCCUCCAUUUACAAGUUGAAACUUUUGAGGUACCUUGAUCUUUCUUCCAAUUACAAUAUUAAGAUUCUCCCAAAGAGUAUUUGCAAGAUUCAGAAUUUGCUAGCGCUGAAACUUGACUGCUGUUAUGGGCUUAAAGAAUUGCCAAAGAAGAUUGAAAAAUUGGUGAAUCUUACCCAUCUUGCGUGUGAAGAUUGUUGUAGUUUAACUCAUAUGCCACGUGGAAUAGGGAAGCUGACUUCACUUGAGACGUUAAGCAUGUUUGUAGUGGAUAAAGAUGGGUCCCAUGGCGGUGCAGAUCUAAGUGAAUUGAGACUGCUUAACAACUUAAGGGGACAUCUACAAAUAACAAAUUUGGGAUUCGUAAAAAAUGCAAAAGAGAAGUUUAAGGCUGCUAAUUUGAAAGAGAAGCAACAUUUGAGAUCGUUGCUUUUAGAAUGGAAUGUUGAUGAAGAUGAUGAUGAGAAGUCACUUGAAGAUCUCCAGCCCCAUCCUAAUCUCAAGAAGCUCUGGAUUCGAGGAUGGAGGGGUGAUGCCAAGUUUCCGAUUUGGCUUUCUUUGCUCACAAAUCUCGUUUCUAUGACAAUACAUCGGGGUAAUUUCAAACAAAUCCCGUCCUUUGCGCAAUUUCCUUGUCUUAAAGGGCUGACCAUAGAUGAUUGUACUAAGCUGGAGUACAUGGAUGAUAAUAGCCCAAAAGGAAGUCAAGGAGAACCACAAUCAUUCUUCCCAUCACUGAAGCAUCUUUCGCUCUUUUUCUGUCCGAAUAUGAAGAGUUGGUGGAGGACGACAAAACCAAUCGAUGAUGAUUCCAACGAGGACGACACAACAGUUAUGGGAACAUCAACCAUGGCAUUUCCUUGUCUUUCCUCUUUAACAAUUCAAAAUUGCCCUUUGACUUUGAUGCCACUGUAUCCAUCACUCGAUGAAGGUCUAAAGUUGUCGAAUACCAGUUCAAGGCCGUUAAAGCAGACUAUCAAGAUGAACAUCAAUGCUAAGGCCCCAUCAACUUCAACCUCUUCUCUUCCACUCUCCAAAUUGAAAUCUUUCCAUGUAUACAACAUUGAGGGGUUGGACACUCACACGCUAGAUGAGUGCCUGCAACAUCUCACCAGCCUCAAAAGAUUAACAAUUGGAGAUUGCAAGGAGGUUGAUUUAGAGGGCAUGCAAUGGGAACCCCUUAAGAAUCUCUCUCAUUUGGAGAUUGAUAAUAUUCCAAAGCUGGUGUCUCCCUCCAUUUGGCUUCAACAUCUUGUUCAAUUGCAAACAUUAAAAAUUCAUAACUGCAAUGGAUUGAGGUCACUGCUUCCUGUGUUCCAACAUCUCACUUUCCUUGAAGAGUUCGAAGUAAAGGACUGCAAGAAGCUGGAGUUAUCUGGAGCUGGCAUCCAAAUAUUCCAAGAUCAUACUAGCCUACGCUCUCUACGGCUGGAACAUAUUCCAAAGUGUCGGCAUCUUCCGAAGUGGCUUCAACAUCUAACAAAUCUGCAAGGGCUUUAUCUCGUUAAUUUGCCCAAUUUAACAUCUCUUCCGGACGAGAUGCGUUGCCUAACCAAAUUGCAAAUUUUAUACAUAAAUGGAAUUCCUCAGUUGGAGGAAAGAUGUCGGAAGGACAUUGGCGCUGAUUGGCAAAAGAUUGCUCACAUCCCCAUCAUUCGGUUGAUUCAGGUUGGUCCGUCUUUGUUAUUUAUUUAUUUUGAUGACCUUAUCUGUUUUUGAAGAAAAAUAAGAGUGGUAUAUUGAAUCUCCAAGUCAGGGGUCUGAUGCCAUUUUUCGUUGAAGUUGGAUACUGUUAAUUUCCUUGUUAAAAUCCCUUUGUUUUCAUCCUACUUUUUACUUAUCAUCUUUCAUAAUAUUUUUGCUGAUUUGUGCAGAAAGGCAUUGGAGAAAGGCAUUAGUGAACUUCAAUCAUUUUAUAUGCAUAAAAAGAGGUGCUAAUUUAUCUAUUUGCUUUUUACUUUUAAAUCAUAAGAAUAACUUGACAAUUGCUUCUAAUAAUUUAAUUCUAAAAAAUCAUUGAUGUGGAGAGAGAGGCCUAUGAAGCCUUCAAAUUGGUUGUACUAUAUGCUCUGCUUUCUUCAUUUAAGCACUUACUUAUCAUAUCUUUAUUUCAGAAUAUUUGGUGGUGAGAUUGAAGUUGAUAAAAUGUUUCAUUACUUAUAUAUCAACAGCAUUAUACUAAACACACAUAUGUGCAAAUAUAAGGCUGAUAAUAAUGGGAUUUGUAACAUAUUCUAUGUUGGCAUUUAUAAUUUUCAGGUUCAUUGAUGCUUUUGGAAGAGUCGUUGUUCAAGCAUGACAAUUGCCAGACAUACUGCAUUUGAAAAUUUAUUAUUUCACCUUACAUGGAGCUUAUUAAGAGCUUGAUUCAUAGUAGGAAAACCAUCUGAGCGUUGAAUGUGAAUUUUCACUUGCAUAGCUAAAAUGAGUUGGGAGAGAAUUUGCUUAAUUGUACAAAAGUGAGAUUGCAUCAAGUGUUUGAGGGGUUAAGCUUAAAUCAUUUCUUUGUACUAUGAAGUUCAUAGUGGAUUCAUCUUUGGGCAAAGCCCCGUAGACGUAGGACAAGUUCCGAACUGCGUAAACAUCUUAAUUGUGUUCUUUAUUUUCCUUGUUGCAUAAUAUGUACCAACUCAGGAAAAAACACAUUUUAAAUGUUCCAAACAGUAUUCAAAUGCAGGGAUGCACAAUUGAUUAUGAGACAAUAAUUGUUUUAGACGGUAUUUCACAUUUUUCAAUUAUGAUGCUUCCAAAAGAUGUCGAUGUCCUGGUUGUAUAUACAUGACACGUGUGUUGAUGAUUAUGUUGGCACACAUCAAAUUACAAGUUGAAUAACACCUUAUAAAGGCCUAUCAUGGCACAAGCCAAUAUUCCAAGCAUCUAAUUGUUAUUUUUCCCAUUGUUUUCCUUAUCAAAAUACAAGUAAUUUUCAACAAUGUAAUUAAAAUGUAAUUUUCAACAAGGUAGCGAAAUGUGGAAUUAAAUUUUUCAAAAAUUUUAAAGAACCUAAUGAGAAUUUCAAAAAAAAAGGGUCUAAUUAAAACUAACAAGACUAUUAAAGGGCUUAGUGAAGAUUUUAAAAAAAUUGAGGAGUUUAAUUAAAAUUUUCAAAAAAAUUGAAGGCUUAAUUCGAAUUUCCCAAAUUUGGAAAGGGGGAGGGGUAUGGAGAGCUCUGGCUCCCAUUGCCUUCUGCCUCGAGUAAUUUUUGAAACUAUAAAGAAAGUGUUGUGAUCUGUCCAUGGCAUUGUAACCUACGCUCUCUAUCACCGGCAAAAAUUCCAAAGUGUCGGCAUCUUCCGGAGAGGGUUGCAAUUUCUUUAUCUCUCUGAUUUGCCCAAUUUUAGAUCGCUUCUGAGAUGACCAGUUUGAAAUCUUUACAUAUACGACAAAUUCCUCAGUUGGAAGGACAUUGGCGCUGAUUGGCAUAAAAUUGCUCACAUCCCACGCAUUUGGUUGUAAUCAGGUUGAUGGAAAGGCAUUUGUGCAGUAACCCAUUGGAGAAAGGCAUUUGAGAACUUCAAUAAUUUGCAAGAGUUCCUCAGUUGAUGGAAGGACAUUGGUGCCGAUUGAUUUGUUGGCUUUUGAGGUCUUUGAUCUAUUAUUUAUCCUUCCUCCUUUAGCAGAUACAGGUGUCUGGAAGGGACUGUUGGAUAUGCUGGUAACUCCUGGACUGCUUUGUCCAUUGGCUAGACUCAUCAUUUUUGUCUGCUGCGCUUUUCCUUUUUAAUUGCUGAGAAAAAUCAGCAAUAAUUCAAAGUAGUGACAAUGGCAGGCAAAAUUACAAGGUCCCUUAGUAUCUGUGCAUGGUUAUAUCUACAUUAACAACCAAUUGAAUUGAAGAAAAUAAAAUAAAAAAGAGCAUAAGUUUAACAGAUGCAUAUGUAGGAGAGCUUGUAUAAGAAAACUUACUGUUAGUCAUAAGAACCAUCAGAAAUGCUUCACUACUUGAAGACAGAAUGAAAAAGGAAUAUAAUAUACGAACAUAAUUUUGCCUGACAAACUAUCAGACAUAUUAUACAUAAGGGGGAAAUAUGUAUAUCAACUGAAUCAUUUUUCAAACAUCCAUCAAAAGAACUAACACCCAUCAAGCUUUCUUCAUAUAGAGCACGGCAUUAAAUGUUUGGCUUUAAACCGAGAAUGGAGUAGCAUAACAUAACCUUCCUCUCUUACUAUAACAUUUAUAUUACGUAAAACUAACAUACUAUCAAUUGCAAUUAUAUUUGAUAGUACUAAAACUUAGUUUUCUCAAAUUAAGGCAUCAAAAUGUUAAAGUCAUCAGGUUUUGGACAUUGGAUGAGGCAAGCAUUCAUUAUAUUUCAACUUAGUUCAGCAAACGAGCACUUUAACCAUCAAAUACAUCAUCAAAAAACGGGAAUAGAUCACGUAUUAAAAUACAGACAUCACAAUAUCACUGCAGAAACAACUAAUGCUACUGAUAAUUUAUCCCCUAAGAAACUUACCCACCAUGAAAAGUUCUAUUUAUGAACAGAUCAAAAGAUCACACAAAAAAAUUAAGCAAACGACAUUAAGUGUUAAGUGAGAGUACAAUUCUCAUCAAAAUUGAAAUAAUAUACUACUAAUUACAUGAUAGCCACCAUUUUCAAAAGAGAAUUUUUGAACUCACUGGAAAUCUCACAAUAAUUGCUUCAACUUCUUGAUCGGCAACGAUUCCACGACUUUUACUAGGUGAAAAUCUGUGAUAAUCAUCGGGAUGAACAAACGGCGGGUUCGUCGAAGCGAAGGCCAGGUGACCACGUAUCGGCGGAACAACCGGAGGAACCGUCGAAGCUGGUGCUGUGGAAGCCGUAGGAGGAGGUUGAUACGGCAGCGUGGGACCAUCGCCGGACAUGGAGGUUUAUGAUUUCUAGGGGAAGGAGGUGGGGGUAUAAUUGGAAUUGGGGGAAUAGGAAGAGAGAGAAAGUGAGGGUUUUAGUUUAGACGUUAGAGAGAGAGUAGAAAACGAGGGAAAAGGGAGGGAAUCUUUUGUUCGGAUAAAUGUGGAGGGAAGUAUUUUGUACAUAAUUACAAUUUAUUUUUAUCUUUUUGAACUCUUAUCUUUUUCAAUUAUUCAAUUUCAUCCACAAUAAGAUUCAGAUACAUGUAUAAGGGUGAAAGUACCUGUAGUAUAGGGACUACAUCAAAUUAGUCUCAAUACUAUUAAAAAUGAUCAAAUAAAACCAAAUUACCAUAGAGUAAACAUUUAUUGCAUAAAAAUGUAUUAAAAUUUGUUAACUCUGAUAAUGUUAAUUCUGUUACAAUUUGAUAUAAUUUUAUUCUUUUUUAAUAAUGCAAGAAUAAAUUUGAUCUAUUUAAUAAUCAAGAGACUAAUUUGAUACAGUCUAUAAUAUGGGGACUUCCUAAAUACUUUAAGCUUUAUAAGUUGACCCUAUUUCACUAUUCAUUUAAUAUUAAAAAUUAAUGUUUUAAUAAUAUUUACACAUUUUUAUAAUUAAAUAUAAAUAAAAUGUUUUUAAUUAAUAAAGAGUAAAUCAAGUUGUAUUAAGUUUGCCCAAAGCAAAUAAUAAUAAUAAUAUCUUAUCAAAGAAUAACCUUCAAUCUGACCAAAUUGAAUGGGUUAAAUCAAGCAAGUAAUUAUAUUUUUACUGUGUGAAAUAAUAAAAUUUAUUUUUCAAUUUAUGUCUAAAUAAGUUUUUUUUUAUAGUUUUAUUUGUAUUUAGAUAAGUUUAUGGUUUUCUUUGGAUGUAUAAUUGGAUCAAUUCUAGUAAAAUUAAAAAUAACGUUGGGGUGAGAUUAGUUAUUGGAAUAGUUAGAUUGAAUAUCGUAGUGAUGUGAUAAUAACCAGUUUUGGAUAUAUAUUUGGAUUCAAUAACAAUUGUAGUAGUGAGGUGAGGUUAAAAAUGGAUAAAAACACCUCUUCCAUCCCUCUUUAAUUCAAUAUUUUGCAAAUUGGCCCUUCUAAAAAAAUAGAGUAAUUUAAUCCCUAUCAAUUUCAAAAGUGAACUAAGGACAAUUAACAAUAAUGUUAAUAUUUUUUGUCACUUGUAUAUAAUUUUGAUUAGUAUAAUCACAAAUUCAGUUCAUACAUAAUGUGUAAAUGUUGCAAUUUGAUUUAGUUAACCUAGAACUAAAUUGACAGAAUGUGUAAACUUUUAGGGCUAAAGUUAUUAUUAUACCAAUAAAAAUGUGUACAGAUGACAAAAAUAUUAACAUUGUGCUUAAUUAUUCUUAGCUACUAUAUUUCGAAAUUAACAAUGAUAAAAUUGCUCUAAAUUUUUUAGAAGGACCAAUUUGCUUGAGAUCAAAAUUGUAAGGGACCAGAAAGGUGUUUUCACCUUAAAUUGAUUAUUACGGAUGUUAAAUUAUUUAUAUUUAUAAAAUGAAAUAAUAUAACAUAUACUAAAUUUGCAAACAUGGUAAAUAAUAAAUUUAUUAAUAAAUAUAUUUUUAUUAAUUUUUUUAUUUAUUAUUACAUAUCUACUUAUUUAGAUUUAAUUCAUAUAAAAUUUGAUUAUGAAAAUUAUAUUUUUUCUUUGAAAUUAUUAUAAACUCAAAAUUCUAUACUUUAUAUAAAUGAAAAUAAUAAAAUAUAAUAAAAUUAUUUAUAUUAAAUAAUAAUUACAAAUAUAUUUAUGAUAAUAAAUUUACAUGUAUUUAAUAUAUCAUUAUAUAAAUAUUAAUUUGUAAUAUAUUUAAUUUUUAUAACAAUUAAAUAAUUAAAUUUAUAAUUAUCGUAUGAUAUGUACUUAUAUAACACCUCUAUAAGGUUAUAGUGAGAAAAAACAAUCUCAUUGCAAGUUAAAUUUUUUAAGAAAAUCUUUUAUGUCCAGUUUGGUGCAAUAAAAUCAAGUGAUACUUACCUCAAUUUGCUUAUCAUAUAUAUUAAUUUAAAUUUUAACAAUUAAUAAUUAAAUUCGAAUUAUAGUAAUACUAACCGAAAUUUCUCUCGAGUCGCUCCUUGUCCACCUUCUCCUUUCCUUUAUUGGUCAAUGACUCUUGCACGACAUUAGCUACGUAAUUAAACAAUUAAAAAUUAUUAAUACACAAUUUCAUCAAAAUAUUUCCAUUUAUACCUAAACUUUACCUAAAUUCUAAUUUAAUCCUUUAUCAAUACUAAUUUUAUUUUCCCAAUCUAACUCCAUAUUCUUUCUCAAUUCUUACUAUAAACUCAUUUUAACUCUUCAAUUUCACCAUAAAUCCCUAAUUUCUGGAUUCUUUUAAUUUAGUCCCUACUAAUCAAAACUUACACUUUAUUUUACAAUUAAAUCCUUUACUAACUUGUAACUUGAAAUUAAAUUAAUUUAACCCCUAAUUCUUUCAUUUAUUCAACAUAAUCAAUGUCUAGAAAUCUAAUAACUUCCAAAAUUUUGACAUAAAUCCAAUAAUACUUUGUUCUAGGAUUCCAAAAACAUCAAAACUAAGAGAAAAGGGAUUAAAUUGACUGACCAAAUUUUCCUUUUUCUUUUUCUUUCUUUCUUUUUCCUUCUUUCCUUUCUCUGUUUCGUUCUACUUCUCUGUUCUUUUUCUUUCUUUAUUUCCUUGUUUCUUUUAUUUCUUUACUUUAUAUUAUAAUAAUAAUAUAAUUACAAUAAAUAUCUAAUUAAUAACUAAUACAUAUAUUACAAAUGUAUACAUAUAUUUUUUUACACCUGUACUUAAUCUAUACCCUACACUUUCACAAAUUAAUUUAUUAAUCACAUAAAUAUCUUAUAAUUUAAUUAUUUAUCCAAUAAAUUUGUAUUUAAUAGACAAUAUAAAUAUUACAAUUGUAUAUAUUUAUCUUUUUACACAUUUGUUUAUAAUUACCACACACUUGUCACUUUUUAUUGUUUAAUUAUUAGUUUAGUCCUUUCACCUUUCUCUUUUCUAUAAUUAACUUUCACACUUAAUUCAAUUUAGUCCUAAUACAUAAUUAACUUUAAUUCAACUAAAUUCACUUAACUAAAAUCCAAUUGGUCUUAUAACUAAUUCUAUAAAUAUUUUUAAUAAUUAUUUUAAUAGUCCAUUUUACCAAAACAGAGACCUGAUAAUUCACUUUCCAAUACCUGCACUUUUUAGGUCGUUUCAAAAUUAAAAUCCCCCAAGUCCUAUAUAUUUUUUGUAAGUUUAGAAUUUAGUUUGUAUAUUUUUAUUUUUAAGAAAUUAGUUCCUAUAUUUUUUAAAUUUUAAAAUUCAAGUCCAACUGUUAACACUGUUAAAAUUAUUUUAUUAAAUUCAGGUUCAUUAAAAUGUCAUAUUCUUAGUUACAUGGCUACCAAGUAAGUAAAAUUUUUUUUAAAUCAAACUGUCACACUAACAAAUCCAACAAAAAAAAAUUUAACAGUAUUAACAAUUGGACCUGAAAUUUGAACUUUGAAAGUAAAAAAAUUAAAUUCCUAUAAAUACAAGUAUAAAGACUAAAUUUCAAAUUUAUGGCGAGUACAAGGACAUAUGGCAUAUUUUAACCUAAAAAAGGGUACCCUACUUUAGUAGUCAUCCAACUAAGUUUUUUUUCUUUUUCGGUCACUCAAUCAUGAAAAGUUACAAAAUAGUCUCCCAACGAUUCAAUUUUAUCAUUUUUAUCAUCAGUUGGCUAAUGAAAAAAUAGAAAACACCAAAAAAUCCAAGAUAAUUGGGUGAAAAAAAAGGAAAAAAAAUAAUAGUUUAUUGAUUAUUUUGUAACUUUUCAUAAUUAGGUAAAAGAAAUUACUAAUAAUUUGGUGAUCAUUUCGUAACUUUUUAAAUAGUUGAAUGACUUUUAAUAUAGUUUACCCAAAAAAGAAUAUUAACGGCGUCAAAUAGAAAAUGAGAAAACAAAUUUAAAACAAAGAUAAACAAAAUGAUGUACUUAACGAUGUUACUCCCUUCUUCUCCAACCAAAACGCCGUCGCUUUGUUCCUCAAACGUAAAACAUGGUGGGACCAUUUCCAACCAUAUUCUCAAUUUAUUAAUUAAUUUUUUAAAAUUAAUUUAUAAAUUCUAAAAUAUUUUAAUUAAGUUUUGAAAGUAUUAAUGUUAUAUCAAUAAAAUCAUUCUAUUUUUGUAGCUGUCAAUUUAGGUUUUAAAUUUCAGUUCUCAUUUGACAUGGAUUAAAUUGUAAAUACUUGUGUACUCAUCAUAUUGAUAACUUGAUUCUAACAUAUUAAAAACACGAAGAGAUUAUAAAAUUUAAGAGGAUUAUUUCUUCUUCUUCUUCUUUUUUUAACACAUUAGAUUAAACAAAAUGCACACUUUUAAGAUAUUAAAUUAAUGGAUUUUUAUAUUUGAUGUAUCAAAUAAUUAUAUUAUACACACAAUAAUAUCACUUCAUUAAAAAAAAUAAAAUUCACAUGCUGAUGUUGUUCUGGUCAAGGUUUUCAAAACUAGAUAGGUGGUCGAACCAAUCAUAUUAAUUGAUUUUUGGUCCAAUUUGUUUGUUCGAUUCAAUUGAAAUAGUUUAAUUUAAUUUAGGGUUUUUAGAUAUGGAAGUUUCAUAUUACAAUAAUUGAAUUUUGAAAAUUUUUAUAGAUUUUUUUAUAUUAUAUAUAUUAAUUUAUUUAAAAUGUUUUCAAAUUUAACUAAUCAUAGUUUGACAUGUGUCAUAUAUUAGUAAAAAUUGUCAACACCAAUCUUAAUUGUCCUUAUUUAUUCACCUUUGAAAACUACAUGGUUUCCAUUAAUCUGUUUUCACCGGCCUCAAAAAAUUGACAAUAGGAGAUUGCAAGGAGGUUGAUUUAGGAGGCAUGCAAUGGGAACCUCUUGGUUGGUGAUUGGUAAUAUUCCAAAGCUGGUGUCUCUCCCCCUUGGGCUUCAACAUCUUUUUCGAUUGAAAACAUUGGGAAUUCAUGAAUGCCAUGGAUUGAGGUCACUCUUACCUGUGUUCCAACAUCUCUCUUUCCUUGAAGAGUUUUCAAUAAGUAACUGCAAGGAGCUGGAGUUAUCUGCACCUAACUUCCAAAUAUUCCAAGAUCAUACAAGCCUGCGCUCUCUGGCGCUGGCAAAGAUUCCAAAGUGUCGCCAUCUUCCGGAGUGGCUUCAACAUCAAACAAAUCUGCCAAGGCUUAUUCUCUGUGAUUUGCCUAAUUUAACAUCGCUUCCGGACGAGAACCAGUUUGGAAGAGUUUUUUAUGAAACGAAUUCCUCAGUUGGAGGAAAGAUGUCGGAAGGGGAUUGGUGCCGAUUGGCAUAAGAUUGCUCAUAUCGCUACAGGUUGUUAUAUUGACUCUCCAACUACAGCCUCUUUUGCCAAAAUAGAACAAGCUUUUGGUGCAAUUUCUUCAUUUGUCAUUUUAUUUGGCUACUUUGUGCAGUAAGCAUCGAAGACUUUUAGUGAAACGAAUUUGGCAAUUUCAAGAAUUCAAAUGCAGAAAAAAAAAAGUGGUAAUCUAGCUAAUUGCUUUACGCUUUUAAAUUAUAUUAAUCUCAGCAUCGCAAUGAUCUGAUGAAAUCCUAUUGUGUAUACACAUUUGAAAAUGCAGCUUACACCAAAUACCAACAAGGAAUGACAGGUAAUUCAUGCCAUUCAUUUAUUUUCUAUUUGAUUCAAUAAAAUAAAAUUGAAUAAUUUAGAUUUAGUGUGAUGUAUUUUGGUGGUUCAUAUCUAUCAUUGUAGCGACCUAAAAAUUUGUCGAUGGGCGCUAAUCGAAUUGAUUGUUGAAAAUUUGAAAAUGGAAUUCCGAUUUCAUUUAAAAAGGGAGUCGCCACCGAUCUUUUUUCUAGGUGUGAUCGGACACCUAAUAAAUUCUCUUUUUUUAAAAGAAAAUUUAUUUUUCAAAUUUUCUGAAAAACAGUCAAUUUUAGGUCCACGUCAAAAUCCAGAGAAAAUUAGGGUUCGGGAGUCAGUUACGCGCGAGGAAGGUAUUAGCACCCUCGCGACGCCCAAAAUUGGUAUCUCGUUAAACGCGUGUUGUCUUCAUUUUCAAAAAUACGAGUUCAAUUUAAUAUUAGUCAUGAUUCAAUUGAAACAGGAGAAUUUUGAAACACAACAACCCUUUUUUUUGAAAACACGAAUUUUUUUUUAAAACGCAAGAAUUUUAGAAACACGAAAAAUUUUAAAAAAAAACACGAAAAAUUUGAAACACGAGAAUUUUUUCAAAACACGAAUUUUCUUUUUGAAACACAAAAAUUUUGAAAACACAAAAUUUUAUUUUGAAAACACAAAAUUUUAUUUUGAAAACACAAAAGAUUUUUUUUGAAAUACGGAAAUUUAUGAAACACGGUCAAUUUUUGAAAACACGAAAAUUUUUGAAAGACGGGAUUUUUUUUAAAAACACGAAAAUUUAUAAAACACGGAAAUUUUUUUCUGAAAACAAGAAAAUUUUCGAAAAACGAGAAUGUUUGAAAACACGGGAAAUUUUUGAAAACAUGAAAAUUUUUGUUACACUAGAAUUUUGAAAACACGAAGAUUUUUGAAACAUGAGGAUUUUUGAAAACACGAAGCUUUUUGAAACAUGAGAAUUUUUUGAGAACAUGAAAACACGAAAAUUUGUCAAACACGGGAAUUUUUUAAAAACACGAUAACAUCAAAGAGUAUUCAAGAGAGUUUUUUGAAACACGGAAUUUUUUUUUCGCAAAAAGUGAAGAUUUUUUGAAAUACGAGAAAUUUUUGAAGAUAUAAAAAUUUUUGAAACACGAUUUUUCUUUAAAAAAUACCGUAUUUAACACGAAUCGAUGAUAUUCAUCCCGAUAUGGCGAUGAAACCAUCGAAUUAGUGUUAACUCAAUUCAAUUUAACAUUUAAUCGGGAUUCUAUUAAAACACGAGAAAUUUUUAAAUACGGGGAUUUUUGAAUUUUUUUAUUUUUGAAAGGGCGUCCCGAAUUUAAUACGAGCUAUCGAUAUUCACCCAACAUAGCGAUGAAUUCGGCGACUCGAUGCUAAACCGAUUCGUUGCCUUAUUUAUUAAAAUAAUUUUUAUUUCAUUUUUUUAUUUGCAAAUAAAGCCACUCUAAUAUUACUAAAAAAACUAUUUAAAAUAUGCUAAUUAAAUUUAAAUGAAAUAAUAUUUAAAUAAAUGAAGCUAAAUUAAAAAAUUUAAGGAAAUUACCAAAAAGCCCCAAAGUGGUGGGCCCUUUUCUUUUUUCCUUUUUUUUCUUUUUUUUCUGCUGGAUGUCGGGCCUGGGCGUUGGGCCAAAGGGAGGCCUGCUUGGCCUGCUGCUGCUGAGCCUGGGGCUUGCUGCUGCUGGGCCUUCGCUGGGCCUGCGCAAAAGGGGCCUGCUUCCUUUUUCUCUUCUUCUGCUGGGCUGUUACUGCUAUUGGGCCUGCUGCUUAUUUUUUUUUCUGGUUCUUUUUUUUGCUUGGGCCUGGGUGUUUUGCUGCUGGAUCCUGCUGUUUGGAGAGGGCUGUUGGAGCGCGGGUCGGGUCGGGAUGGCUCCGAGGGUCGGGUGGUCGGGUCGGGUUGACCCGAUUGACUUUAAAAUUUUUUUUUUCUUUCUCUUUUUCUUUUUUCUUUUUCUUCUCCCUUUUUCUUCUUCUUUUUUCUUUCUUCUUUCUUCUUCUUCGGGCCGCACCUUAACCCCACGUGCGCCUUUGAGGGCGUUUCCUCCACCUGGUACGACGGCCGGUGGUGGCACGGUGGCGAUGAAGGGACGACUGGGCUUUCUUUUUGGACCUUUUUUUUGCUUUUUUUCUUGUUUUUUUGCUGCUGCGUUUUUGUUUUGCUUCUCUUUUUGUUUCAAUUUCUCUUGGCUUCUAGGUGGUGGUACGGUGGCUGCGGUGGCGGGUAGUGGCACGACGGCGGCGAGGGCUGUUGGGCUGUUAUUGUUUGGAUUUUUUUUUGAAUUUUCUCUGCACUUUUUCUCCUUUUUUUUUUCGAUUGCCCCCCCUUCUUCUCUUCCAUUUUCCUCUUUUAAUCUUACCAUUUUUGGCUUCUAUUCCUUUGUCUGCAGGUGGCUAGGGGAAGGAAGGCCAUGCAUUGGGGGUGGCAGGCGUGGCAAGCGGGGCACGCAAGAAUGCUGGUUGGGGGCAGUCUUGUCAUGCCCAGAAGGACCAAAAUGUAAAGGGUGUAAAAUUUCCAGGGUAAAAAUGUAAUUUCAGGAAAAUAUGGGGCCAAAAUGUAAAUUUUGAAAAGUUCGAGGGCUAAAAUGCCAUUUAUUUUUUUGUAUUUUUUUAAAUUUUAUUAUGACUAUUUAAUUAAUAUUUAAAAUUAUUAUAAAAAUAAAAAUAAAAAUGGGCUAAAGCCCAAACAAGCUUAAAAUCUAAUUACUUAAAACCCAAUUACCCAAACCCCAAAGGCCCAACCAUUGGACCCAAUCAUUAAGCCCAAAUGAGGCCAAUCCCACAAAAUUAUUUAAAAAAAAACAUAUAUAUAAAAUGAAAUAAAAUAAAAAAAAACACGAACUACAGACCGGACAAAAUUCAGUGAUUACAAUAAUUUCAUAGCUUCUAAUACUUUAAUUCUAAAAAAUCUUUAUUGGUACCCAAUGGACAUUUUCCAAAAUGCUUGCAUGCCAGCCUUCAAUAUGCUUCUACUUCAUGCUCUGCUUUGUUCAUUUUCCAAUUUUAAAUCUUAAUCAUAUGUAUAUACAAUUUUAUGUUUUAUCUUGAAAUUUUUGAUCUUUUUACCCUUAUUUUUGUUAGCUUUUGGCUCUAUUCUUCUGCAGAGCAUAGCAUGCAAUACAAAAAGCAGAGACCAUAUUUUCUACCCUCAUAUGUUUAUCUGCCCACAUAUUCGAUUGGCGUGUAUUUUUCUGAAAGGCAUUUGACAACUUUAAGAAUUUAGAUGCAGGCAAAUAGGUGGUAAUUACUUAAUUGCUUUACAUUUUUAAAAUCAUAAUAAUCUCAUAAUUUCAAAUGAUCUAAUAUAACCUCGUAACUAAGCUGCUUCCUUUUCAGCAUGAGUUCAAUGGAAGAGCCAAAAAGCAGGACAUGCAUUCUUCAUCAGCUGAUCUGUCCAUGGUAUUGUGUGUUGAAAGGUCAACAAAGGUAGGAAGCAACUUGUUAAAAAGGUUGAGCAAGUUGCACCGAAUGUUGAAAAGUUGAAUGGGAUAAUUGCAAUUUUGGUCCCUAAUUUUUUAGGCCAUUUGCAAGUUAGUCCCUGAACUUCAACUAUAAAUAGGCCUUUUCAUUUUUCAUUUCAACAAUCCCAACCAAUCUUUCUCUCUUAGUUUUCUCUCUUCUCCCAUUUGAGAAUUCUUAAGGAAUUCUAUUUGUUUGUAAUAUUUUGAAGAUAGUAAAGUUAUCAUCUGGUGUUAGUGCCCGAGGACGUAGGUAUAAUUUACCGAACCUCGUUAAAACUCUUGUGUUCUUUCUUGUCCUAUUUUUCUUUCAAUAUUUGAGGGUAUAAUAGUAGUAUUUAAUUGUGCUAUUAAAUUACUAUAGAAGGGAUAUUCUGACUAAGGAAAGACUUGGUAUUUAAGAGAUCCAUGUGAUCCACCUCUCUUCCCUGGGAAUUGAACUUUGUGUGAUUUUUUAGUACAAUAAUUUACACGCUUCCGACCCUAUUGGAACAAAAAGUGGUAUCAAGAGCCGAAGGUUAAGCGUAGUAUGCUCUGUGGUUGCAGUUUAAACUGAUCUUCCACAUCAGAAAAGAUUUCCUUAGGUAUAUUGAAAGAUUAUGGAGAAAACGGUCGGUGUAGGAGCUUCAACAUCGUCCAUGUGGACAAGACCGACAAUUGCAAAUGCAAGACUGGCCGUGGAGAUCUUUGAUGGCACAGGCCAUUUUGGUAUGUGGCAAAGUGAGGUUCUAGAUGCCCUUUUUCAGCAGGGUCUAGACAUUGCCAUUGAUGAAGAGAAACCAGAUGAUGUACAGGAGAAAUAUUGGAAGGCGAUCAAUCGGUUGGAAUGUGGCACAAUUCGAUCAUGCCUUUCUCGAGAGCAGAGGUAUGCUUUUUCAAAGGAGACUUCUGCAAAUAAGUUGUGGGUGGCACUUGAAGAAAAUUUUUUGAAGAAAAACAGUCAAAAUAAGCUCCACUUGAAGAAAAGACUGUUUCGCUUCACAUACGUCCCAAGUACCAGAAUGAAUGAUCACAUCACCAAAUUUAAUCAGUUAGUCACUGAUUUGCUGAAUAUGGAUGAGACAUUCAAAGAUGAAGAUUUGGCUUUGAUGCUGUUGGGGUCACUUCCUGAGGAGUUUGAGUUCCUAGAAACUACUCUACUUCAUGGCAGGAGUGAUAUAUCUCUGAGCGAAGUCUGUGCGGCCUUAUACAGUUAUGAACAGAGAAAGAAGGACAAACAGAAAAACUCAAUCAGAGAUACAGAAGCUUUAGUAGUCCGAGGUCGUUCAUACACUCGGAAGAAAACUCAAAAGGGGAGAUCAAAGUCAAAGUCCAGACUCGGGAAAGAUGAAUGUGCUUUUUGUCAUGAGAAAGGCCACUGGAAGAAAAAUUGUCCAAAGCUGAAGAAUAAGGGAAAAGCUGUUGUAGAUGCUUGUGUUGCAAAGCAUGAUACUAGUGACUCUGAACUAUCACUGGUUGCAUCAUCAUCGUCGUUCCAUUCAGAUGAGUGGAUAUUGGAUUCGGGUUGUACCUAUCAUAUGUCCCCUAACCGGGAGUGGUUCUUUGAUUUAGUAGAACUAAAUGGAGGAGUUGUUUAUAUGGGCAAUGACAAUACCUGUAAAACUGUUGGGAUAGGUUCAAUCCAAUUAAAGAAUCAAGAUGGAUCAACCAGAGUUCUGACUGAUGUUCGGUACGUGCCCAGUUUGAAGAAAAAUCUCAUCUCAUUGGGAGCCUUGGAAUCCAAUGGUUCAGUUGUUACUAUGAGAGAUGGGAUUUUGAAAGUGACAUCUGGCGCACUUGUGAUAUUGAAGGGCAUCAGGAAAAAUAACUUGUAUUACUACCAAGGUAGUACAGUUAUUGGAGCAGUCGCUACAGCUUCCGGUAACAAAGAAUUGGACUCAAUGCAGUUGUGGCAUAUGAAGUUGGGACAUGCCAGCGAAAAAUCCUUACAAAUUCUGGCAAAGCAAGGAUUGUUGAAAGGUGCAAAGGCUUACAAAUUAAAAUUUUGCGAGCAUUGUGUUCUGGGAAAGCAAAAGAGAGUGAAAUUCGGUACUGCUAUCCAUAAUACAAAAGGUAUUUUGGAAAAUGUUCACUCAGAUGUGUGGGGGCCUUCCAAGACACCUUUAUUGGGAGGAAAACACUACUUUGUUACUUUUGUUGAUGACUUUUCCAGAAGAGUUUGGGUGUAUACCAUGAGAACUAAGGAUGAAGUGCUUAAAGUUUUUCUUAAAUGGAAAACUAUGAUCGAAAACCAGACUGGCAAGAAAAUCAAGCGGCUUAGGACGGACAAUGGAGGGGAAUAUAAAAGUGAUCCGUUCUUCGAUGUGUGCCAAGAGUAUGGUAUUGUUCGACACUUCACAGUUAGGGAUACACUACAGCAGAAUGGAUUGGCAGAGCGUAUGAAUCGAACAUUGCUUGAGAAAGUUCGAUGUAUGUUGUCCAAUGCUGGGUUAGGCAAGCAAUUUUGGGCUGAGGCUGUGACAUACGCUGGCCAUCUUGUUAAUCGUUUGCCAUCAUCUGCAUUAGAAAGAAAAACUCCUAUGGAGGUAUGGUCUGGAAAACCGGCUACAGAUUAUGAUUCCUUACAUGUGUUUAGAUCCACUGCAUAUUACCAUGUGAAGGAGUCAAAGUUAGAUCCGAGGGCAAAGAAAGCUCUCUUUAUGGGAAUCACUUCUGGAGUGAAGGGAUUUCGUCUUUGGUGCUUAAGCACAAAGAAAAUGAUCUGUAGCAGAGAUGUUACCUUUGAUGAAUCUGCCACAUUGAAAAAGGUAGCAGAUAAAGAUAUUCAGACGAGCAAUACUCCACAACAGGUGGAGUGUACUCCAAAACAGGUGGAGUUUGAGCAGAUGGGGAUUUGCCCAGUUAAUAAGUCUAAUUCUCCAGCCACAAUGGAGGAAUUAGAGGUUGAAGAGGUUCUGACCCAAGAACCACUAAGUACACCAGAACCAGUUGCAGUUGCAAGGCCACGGAGAGAAAUUCGUAAACCUGCUCGAUUUACUGAUAUGGUGGCCUACGCCCUUCCCGUUGUUGAUGAUAUUCCUAUCACUUAUCAAGAAGCAAUGCGAAGCUUAGAAAGUGAUAAAUGGAAAAGUGCCAUGGAUGAAGAAAUGCAGUCUCUCUUGAAGAAUAAUACUUGGGAAUUGGCGCAAUUACCGAAAGGUAAAAGGGCAAUCGGAUGCAAGUGGGUAUUCGCAAAGAAAGAUGGAUCUCCUAGCAAGAAGGAUAUUCGCUACAAGGCAAGAUUGGUAGCUAAAGGCUACGCUCAGAAGGAGGGAAUUGACUACAAUGAUGUAUUUUCCCCUGUUGUGAAACAUUCCUCCAUUAGAAUUUUGUUGGCCUUGGUAGCACAGUUGAAUUUGGAGCUAGCUCAACUUGAUGUUAAGACGGCUUUCUUGCAUGGUGAGUUAGAAGAGGAGAUCUAUAUGACUCAGCCCGAAGGAUACACAGAUGCUGGUGGUAGAAAUUGGGUUUAUAAGCUGAACAAAUCGCUAUAUGGAUUGAAGCAAUCCCCGAGGCAGUGGUACAAGCGAUUUGAUAGCUUUAUGAGAAGGCAGAAGUACACAAGAAGCAAAUAUGACAAUUGUGUAUAUUUGCAGAAGCUGCAUGAUGGAUCUUUCAUUUCUCUACUCUUGUAUGUUAAUGAUAUGUUAAUCGCUUCGAAGAGCCAAAAUGAGAUAGAUAAGCUGAAGGCUCAGUUGAAUCAAGAGUUCGAGAUGAAAGAUCUAGGUGAGGCCAAGAAGACUCUCGGCAUGGAGAUAAGUAGAGAUAGACCGAGAGGCAAACUCUGUUUAAAUCAGAAGUAAUAUCUGAAAAAGGUAUUACAAUGUUUUGGUGUAAAUGAAAACACAAAACAUAUAAGUACCCCACUUGCUUCUCAUUUGAAACUUAGUGCUCAAUUAUCUCCGAAGACUGAAGAUGAAAGAGAAUAUAUGGCGAAAGUCCCAUAUGCUAAUGCAGUUGGGAGUUUGAUGUAUGCGAUGGUGUGUACGAGGCCUGACAUUUCACAAGCUGUUGGAGUUGUGAGCAGGUAUAUGCAUGAUCCUGGAAAAGGACAUUGGCAAGCUGUGAAAUGGAUUCUACGGUAUCUUCGAAAAACCGUAGAUGUUGGUUUAAUUUUUGAACAGGAUGAAGCACUUGGUCAGUUUGUAGUUGGAUAUGUUGAUUCCGACUUUGCUGGUGAUUUAGAUAAACGUCGUUCAACUACGGGGUAUCUGUUUACUCUUGCGAAAGCCCCAGUGAGUUGGAAGUCUACCUUACAGUCUACAGUAGCUGUGUCUACUACAGAGGCAGAAUAUAUGGCAGUUACAGAAGCUGUUAAGGAGGCUAUUUGGCUUAAUGGAUUAUUGAAAGACUUGGGAGUUGUUCAAAGUCACAUUAGUCUAUAUUGUGACAGUCAGAGUGCUAUUCAUUUAGCGAAAAAUCAAGUCUAUCAUUCAAGAACCAAGCAUAUCGACGUAAGAUAUCACUUUGUGCGGGAAGUCUUUGAAAAAGGAAAAAUUCUACUUCAGAAGAUUCCGACAGCAGAUAAUCCCGCAGAUAUGAUGACCAAAGUGGUAACAACAAUCAAGUUUAAUCAUUGUUUGAACUUGAUUAACAUCCUGAGAAUUUGAGCACCUACAGGUGUAUGGCGCUCGAGAGCGCAUUUAGAGGCACUACAAAAGAUAACUUUAUCGAAUUUGGGGAGUUGAAGGAAGUGUGUGAAGAUGUGAUUAUCCUAAUCAAAUCUUCAAGGUGGAGAUUGUUGAAAGGUCAACAAAGGUAGGAAGCAACUUGUUAAAAAGGUUGAGCAAGUUGCACCGAAUGUUGAAAAGUUGAAUGGGAUAAUUGCAAUUUUGGUCCCUAAUUUUUUAGGCCAUUUGCAAGUUAGUCCCUGAACUUCAACUAUAAAUAGGCCUUUUCAUUUUUCAUUUCAACAAUCCCAACCAAUCUUUCUCUCUUAGUUUUCUCUCUUCUCCCAUUUGAGAAUUCUUAAGGAAUUCUAUUUGUUUGUAAUAUUUUGAAGAUAGUAAAGUUAUCAUCUGGUGUUAGUGCCCGAGGACGUAGGUAUAAUUUACCGAACCUCGUUAAAACUCUUGUGUUCUUUCUUGUCCUAUUUUUCUUUCAAUAUUUGAGGGUAUAAUAGUAGUAUUUAAUUGUGCUAUUAAAUUACUAUAGAAGGGAUAUUCUGACUAAGGAAAGACUUGGUAUUUAAGAGAUCCAUGUGAUCCACCUCUCUUCCCUGGGAAUUGAACUUUGUGUGAUUUUUUAGUACAAUAAUUUACACGCUUCCGACCCUAUUGGAACAACAUUGUGCUCCCCUAAAUCCUCCUCUCUAUGCACAUUUGUUCUUUCUUUUUCUUUGUUGAAGAGUCGAUCUGUAUGCAUUCUUCAUCAGCUGAUCUUACUGUAUUGUUUCUCCAAAACAAUAGGGAAAGAAAAGGGAAAGAGACUUACUGUUCUUUGUCAAGCUCAGAGGUUCAUUUGAAAUUUUAGAGGAUUUAGGUAAAACUAUUAAAUUCAAAAAAUAGUCCCAUUUAAAAUAUGAGUCGAGCUUGAAUUUGAAUAUUUAAAGCCUAAGUUUGGCCCGACCCAAUUUUUAAGUUUGCAAUAUUUUAUAUUAUGUUAAUUUUAUAUGUUAUGUAAUUUGUAACAAAUAAAAAUAAAAAUUAUAAUACUAUUAUAAUCUUAAGAUGACUAUAUAUAAAAUUUUAAUAAAAAUGUAAAAAUAUUAAAUAUUAAGUUAAAAAUAAUAUAAAUUCAUUUAAAUUUUUUUAAAAAUAGUAUGAGUGGAUUUAAAAUGAGUUUGAGUUAACUGUUUACAAAUUUGAACAGACUUUAAGUUUAUAUUUUGGACCAGGCUGAACCUAAACAAAUAUAAAAUAAAAUAUAAAUAUUUUCAUUUUUUUAAAUUCUCUAUUAUAUUUUGGCAUAAUGAUUUAUUUAACCUUCUAAAUUUAUGAAAAAAUCAAUUUAGUCCUUAAACUUGCAUGGCAUACACAUGGAUGCCACAUUAGCAAUUAACUAAUGUUCUAAAUAUAAAAAUUUUAAAAAAGUAUACAACUUAUUAAAAGUUUUAAAAAGUAUAAAAAUUAUUAAAAACUAUUUUAAAUUUUUAAAAAAAAAUUAAUCAAUUGCUAAUGUAGCAUACACAUUGGCUUCCAUGUGGAAGCCACAUCAGCAAAGUUAAUAAUUUAGUAUAAGAAAAUCUUUUAUGUCCAGUUUGGUGCAAUAAAAUCAAGUGAUAUUAGUUUAAUUCGAUUAUAUUUUUUUAUCCAUCCAUUAUAAUUUAGUUUAGUACGAUUUUUUAUUAUAAAUUUUUAUAAUUAUUUUAAUAAAAUAAACUUUAUUUUACGGCUUUUAAAUAUCAUUUGACAAAUUUUCAAAGUUUUUUUCAUAGAUUUUUUUAAAAUUAUUUUAAGUAGAUAAAAAUAAUUAAAUACUUUUUAACCCAUUUUGGAUGGUUUGACAAAAAAAUAUAAGUUCAAAGACUAAAAGAAAAUGAAAGUAAAUAGAGAGCUAAAAUAAUUCUUUUAUAAAGUUGGAAUGCCAAAAAAGUUAUUAUACUUUCAUUUUUCAAAAUAAUUAAUAAACACUUUAAACAUAAGUGCAUCUACAUUUGCUUCGUGAUUGUUCUUUCUAUAAAUUCACGAUAAUCAAGUUAAACAAGUAAUUUAGUGAGGUUAAGUAUUGUAACAGUGAGAUUAAAGUUAAUUGUAGAAUAUGUAUUUGAAUUCAAAUGUAAAUAUAUCGAUAAAAUGAGAAUAAAAAAUCACUAUUAAAGCGGAAUUAGAUGCCCUCAUCGAUGGUUUUUGGCGGCUUGCUCAAUUUCUUAAAGCCAAUAAUGUCAUUUUUGAAACAGAUUGUGCUAGCAUUGUCAACCGCUUUAGUUUUCACAAGGAGGACAUAACGAUCGUUGAUCACUGCAUCAAGGAGCUCACAAAAUGCUUAAUUCUUUUGUUUCUUUCGAGGUCAAAUGGGUGAAACGUGGUUAUAACAAAUUAGCCGAUUCUCUUUGUAAUUGGGCUCUUUCUAAGUGUAGUAAUUUAUCUUUUGAGAUGAAUUAUCCUAACGAUCGAUAUUCAUAACGUUGUAAUUUAUGAUGCAACUUAAAAUGAGAUAGUGACCUUUGGGUUUUUUUUAUAAAAAAAACAGUAUUAAAUAUAUUAAGUUAAAAUACAUGUAUAUGUAAAAUAAAUGAUUAAAAAUAUAUUUAAAAAUAAAAUAUCUUAAAUAAACAAAUCAAAAUCAUUCAACUCACAAUAAAACAAUUAUAUGUGUAUUAAAAUAAUUAAAUAGAUAUGAGCAGUGGAAGCAAUCUUCAUGAUGGUAUUAAGUAAUGAUUUUUCCUUCAAUACCAAUUAAAUACACAUUCCCAUGGAGCUGACAUAAACCCAAUAUCUUUCCACAUGUUGUACAUGUUCAAAAACGAAAUUAAUUUUUCUUUUGUUGGCAAUAGUAGCCGAGCUAAAAAUUUUUUUACUCGGAAUUAAAUUAUAUAUUUUUAUAGUAAUGUAUUUUUAUAAUUUUUAAAGAGUUAAAUUAAAUUUUUAUAAUUUUUUUAGAUGAUCAAAUUAUAAUUUUAUCACUAUUAAUUUAAAAUUUUAUAAAUUAUAAAAUGUCUAAAUUAAAAAUUUAUCAUUUUAGGAGUCUCUACUAGGCUUCGCAGGUGAUAGCGCAACUUGUCAAGAAUGACCAUCCAAGCUAUAACAAAAUGUUUUGGGAUAUGCUAAAUCAACCUCUUACAUUUUACUUUGAUAUAUUACAUAGACAAGCAAUUAUAUUAAUCCAAUGUAAAAAAAUAUAUGUAUGCAUUUUUUUUACAUAUGUACAGUUGAAUCAGAAUUAAAAUUAAUAGCAAAUAUAAUUAACAUACCCAUUAAUAUAAAAAGAUUUAAUAAUAAGGGUAUACUAAAAUAGUAAUGAACAGUAACUAUUGUCGUAAUAUAUAAUUAUAGACACCAAGUUACUUUAAAAGACAAAAUCAAAGCUAAGUAGGUAGGUGAGAAAUGUGAACAUGAUAAUCACUUGUAAGUUAAUUGAAUUCGAUUCAAAAAAGAUUUAAAUUUGAUUUAGUAGUCAUUAAGUUAUGUUUAAAUUAUUGAUUUAAUCGGAUUGGGAUUUAAUAAAAUUUGAUUCUAAUGGUGAAUGAGUUUUAUUGAAUUUUUUAUUUUAUAUAUUCAACCAAAGUUAAACUCAAAAAUAAAAUAUUGAAUUUAAGUUAAACUCGCGCAAUUACACAAAGUAAGUGGGAAGAAGGUUUAGAAAGGCUUCAAUCAAAACACCUUGGAUUCCAUGGGAUUUGUCGCCUUUUUCUCUUUUCUUUCGUAGCCUUUUCAUUAAUUUCAAUUAUUUGUACGGCUCCACAUUGUGCAGAGCAUUGAGAAAUUUCUCAUCAUCCCAACUUUGUCUCCAUUCAGAAAUUUGUGUCACAUGGAGGGACAUUUCCCACCAAUCAACAUGACUUUAACUUGGAGGGACCAUUUCCCACCAAUCAACAUGACUUUUUAUUUAAUUAUACUACUUGCUGGGUGGAUGGAUCCACAUCUGUGCUUCAUCUUGUUGGAAUCAUUCUCAUUUUAGUUCUCCUCUUUCACGAAUCAAACACUUUUUGCCUUGAUUUCAGUUUGAACCAACCAUGGCCGAAGCAAUUGCUUCCGUCAUUGCCGCAGAGCUCAUUAUUAAGUUGAGCUCUCGUGCUCUCUCUCAAGUUGGGCUGUGGUGGAAUCUCAAACAUGACAUCCACGAUCUCAGACGCACUGUCUGUCAAAUCAAAGCUGUGCUUCUUGACGCAGAAGAGAAAUCGGUGACCGACAAUCUCGUCAAAGUUUGGCUUGAAGAGCUGAAAGAUGUACUUUAUGAGGCCGACGACUUGCUCGAUGAUUUCUCUACUGAAGCUUUGCGGAAAGAUGUAUCGGGUGGGAACAAGCUGACGAAAGAGGUACGCCUUUUCUUCUUAACCUCAAACCAAUUUGCUUAUGGUCUCAAAAUGGGUCGGAAAAUGAAGGCCAUUAAGGCGAGAUUAGCUUCAAUUGAAAGGGAGGCCAACACUUUUGGCUUCAUUCCUCGUGAUCGCCCCGCGGAAACCUCUUUCAUGACAAAAAGGAGGCAGCAAACGCACUCUUUUGAGCUUGAAGAUGACAUAAUAGGGAGGGAUGAUGAUAAAGCAGCUCUUCUAAAACUCGUGUUGGAGUUUCAAAGUGAAGAGAAUGUUUAUGUCAUUCCAAUUGUGGGGUUUGGAGGGUUAGGGAAGACUGCUUUGGCCCAACUUGUCUAUAACCAUGAAAUGGUCAAAAAUCAUUUCGACUUAACGAUGUUUGCGUGUGUUUCAGAUGAUUUUGAUGUGAAAGUUAUUGUAGCAAACAUUAUCAAAUCUGUGACUAAUCAAGCACCUGAUCAAAAUCUUGAAAUGGAUCAAUUGCAAAAACAACUUCGAGAUAAAAUUGAUGGGAAAAAAUAUUUGCUUGUUUUGGAUGACAUUUGGAAUCAGGACCCAGAGAAGUGGUCUAGGCUAAAGAAGUUAUUGAUGGGUGGGGCUAAAGGGAGUAGGAUAAUAGUAACUACUCGAUCUCUAAGGGUAGCGGAGAUAAUUAAUAAAUGUCAAUCCCAUGUUUUGAAAUUGAAAGGCUUGUCUGAUGAUGAUGCUUGGUCUUUGUUCAGAAAGAUAGCAUUUGAACAAGGAUAUGCAGACUCAACAAAUUCAGCCUUUGUGGAAGUAGGGAAACAGAUUUCGGAAAGGUGUGGUGGGGUUCCCUUAGCCAUAAGGACGAUAGCUGGUACAUUAUCUUUGAAGAAAACUGCAAAUGAGUGGCAUUCUUUCAAAGAAAAUGAACUUGCUAAAAUAUCACAAAUUGAAGGAGAACUUCUACCUAUACUGAAAUUGAGUUAUGAUCAUCUCCCGUCUCAUUUGAAGCAUUUCUUUGCUUAUUGCCGAUUGUAUCCAAAAGAUUACAGAAUUAAAGUACAAGAGCUUGUUCAAAUUUGGAUUGCACAGGGUUUCAUAAAGCAAUUGAAUCAAAGUCAAUCUCUGGAGGAGAUCGGGUUUGGGUAUUUUAAAGAUUUAGUUGAAAUAAGUUUCUUCCAAGAAGUAGGAGAAAGAUAUUCAAGGGAAGGGCUAACAUGUAAAAUGCAUGAUUUAAUGCAUGAUGUAGCUGAAUCAGUAGCAGGGAUGGAGAGUAGUAUUGUAGAUUCAAAUAAAAUUGCAAGUGAUGUUGGUGAAAAAUGGCGACACAUAUCAAUUAAACCUUCAUUAAUUCCUUUGUUUAAGGGAAAGAAGUUGCGAACCUUGUUACAUUUUCAAGACAAAAUAAGUCAAGAUUUCAGCUAUGAAACUUGGGAUUUGAUAAUUGCAAAUUGUAGAUGCUUGCGUGUAUUGAAAUUGAAUUCUAUAGGUAUUCAAAAGAUUUCACCCUCCAUUUGUAAGUUGAAACAUUUGAGGUACCUUGAUCUUUCUUGGAAUUUCAAUAUUAAGAUUCUCCCAGAGAGUAUUUGCAAGAUUCAGAAUUUGCUAGCGCUGAAACUUGAUGGGUGUGAUGGGCUUAAAGAAUUGCCAAAGAAGAUUGAAAAAUUGGUGAAUCUUACCCAUCUUGAGUGUGAACAUUGUAUUAGUUUAACUCAUAUGCCACGUGGAAUAGGGAAGCUGACUUCACUUGAGACGUUAAGCAUGUUUGUAGUGGAUAAAGAUGGGUCCCAUGGCGGUGCAGAUCUAAGUGAAUUGAGACUGCUUAACAACUUAAGGGGAGGGUUAGGAAUAACAAAUUUGGGAUUCGUAAAAAAUGCAAAAGAGAAGUUUAAGGCUGCUAAUUUGAAAGAGAAGCAACAUUUGAGAUGGUUGGGUUUACAAUGGAAAUUUGAUUCUGAUGAUGAAGAUGAUGAUGAUGAUGAUGAUGAGAAGUCACUUGAAGACCUCCAGCCCCAUCCUAAUCUCAAGGAGCUCUGUAUUGAAAGAUGGAGGGGUGAUGCCAAGUUUCCAAGUUGGCUUCCUUUGCUCACAAAUCUCGUCAAAAUUUUCACAAGUGGUGGUAAUUUCAGACAAAUCCCGUCCUUUGCGCAAUUUCCUUGUCUUAAAGGGCUGACUAUAGAUGAUUGUACUAAGCUGGAGUACAUGGAUGAUAAUAGCCCAAAAGGAAGUCAAGGAGAACCACAAUCAUUCUUCCCAUCACUGAAGCAUCUUUCGCUCUGGAACUGUCCGAAUAUGAAGAGUUGGUGGAGGACGACAAAACCAAUCGAUGAUGAUUCCAACGAGGACGACACAACAGUUAUGGGAACAUCAACCAUGGCAUUUCCUAGUCUUUCCUCUUUAGGCAUUCAAAAUUGCCCUUUAAUUUUAAUGCCACUGUAUCCAUCACUCGAUGAAGGUCUAAUGUUGUUCUAUACCAGUUCAAGGCCGUUAAAGCAGACUAUCAAAAUGAACAUCAAUGCUAAGGCCCCAUCAACUUCAACCUCUUCUCUUCCACUCUCCAAAUUGAAAUCUUUCCAUGUAUACAACAUUGAGGGGUUGGACACUCACACGCUAGAUGAGUGCCUGCAACAUCUCACCAGCCUCAAAAGAUUAACAAUAAGAGAUUGCAAGGAGGUUGAUUUAGAGGGCAUGCAAUGGGAACCCCUUAAGAAUCUCUCUCAUUUGGAGAUUGAUAAUAUUCCAAAGCUGGUGUCUCUCCCCAUUGGGCUUCAACAUCUUGUUCAAUUGAAAACAUUAAAAAUUCAUAACUGCAAUGGAUUGAGGUCACUUCUUCCUGUGUUCCAACAUCUCACUUCCCUUGAAGACUUUUUAGUAAUGGACUGCAAGGAGCUGGAGUUAUCUGGGGCUGGCAUCCAAAUAUUCCAAGAUCAUACAAGCCUACGCUUUCUACAGCUGCAAAAUAUUCCAAAGUGUCGGCAUCUUCCGGAGUGGCUUCAACAUCUAACAAAUCUGCAACGGCUUUUUCUCGUUAAUUUGCCCAAUUUAACAUCUCUUCCGCACCAGAUGCAUUGCCUAACCAGUUUGAAGUAUUUACACAUACAAGAAAUUCCUCAGUUGGAGGAAAGAUGUCGGAAGGACAUUGGCGCUGAUUGGCAAAAGAUUGCUCACAUCCCCAACAUUUGGUUGAAUCAGGUUGGUCUGUCUUUGUUAUUUAUUUAUUAUGAUGACCUUAUCUUUUUUUGAAGAAAAAUAAGAGUGGUAUAUUGAAUCUCCAAGUGAGGGGUCUGAUGCCAUUUUUCAUUGAAGUUGGAUACUGUUAAUUUCCUUGUUAAAAUCCCUUUGUUUUAAUCCUACUUUUUACUUAUCAUCUUUCAUAAUAUUUUUGGUGAUUUGUGCAUUAAGGCAUUGGAGAAAGGCAUUAGUCAACUUCAAUAAUUUUUUAUGCAUAAAAAGAGGUGCUAAUUUAUCUAUUUGCUUUUUACUUUUAAGUCAUAAUAAUAACUUGACAAUUGCUUCUAAUAAUUUAAUUCUAAAAAAUCAUUGAUGUGGUUGUAUUAUAUGUAUUUAUAUAUAUAUUUAUGUUUAUAUAUAUUUAUGUUUUCUCUUAAUAUAUGCCAACUGAGUAUUAUCUUGGAUGGUACCUGUGAUAUUGACAGGCUUUUGGAGGUAUUCAAAUUCAUAAUAUUCAUUGAUGCAGGGCACUCUUUUAGCUGUUUAGAAUUCCAGCCAAAUUUGUUAUUGAAGGUCCAAACAAGAAAAAAAGGAAGAUGCUUCAGAUGUAUAAUUAAGUGUUUGAGGGGUUAAGCUUAAAUCAUUUCUUUGUACUAUGAAGUUCAUAGUGGAUUCAUCUUUGGGCAAAGCCCCGCAGACGUAGGACGAGUUUCGAACUGCGUAAACAUCUUAAUUGUGUUCUUUAUUUUUCUUGUUGCAUAAUAUAUACCAACUCAAGAAAACACACAUUUUUAAUGUUCCAAAUAGUAUUCAAAUGCAGGGAUGCACAAUUGAUUAUGAGACAAUAAUUGUUUUAGACGGAAUUCCAAGGCUAUGUUCAAUUAUGAUGCUUGGACUAGGACUCUUCCAAAAGAUGUCGAUGUCCUGGCUGUAUAUACAUGACUUGUGUGUUGAUGCUUAUGUUGGCACACCAAAUUAUAAGUUGAACAACACCUUAUAAAGGCCUAUCAUGGCACAAGCCAAUAUUACAAGCUGAAGCUUUGGCUCUUGUUAUGUUCUGCCCCGAGUAAAUUUUUUAAAGAGAAAUUUUUUAAUUCAUUCAAUGAAUAAAUGAAAAAUUCAAAGAAAAAAAUAACAAAUACUCGUAUGCGUUAGAUAAUAAUAAAAAUUUAUUAUUUUGUAACUUUUCAUAAUUAGGUAAAAGAAAUUACUAAUAAUUUGGUGAUCAUUUUGUAACUUUUUAACUAGUUGAAUGACUUUUAAUAUAGUUUACUCAAAAAAGAAUAUUAGCGGCAUCAAAUAGAAAACGAGAAAACAAAUUUAAAAUAAAGAUAAACAAAACGAUGUACUUAACGACGUUACUUCCUUCUUCUCCAACCAAAACACCGUCGCUUUGUUCCCCAAACGUAAAAUAUGGUGGGACUAUUUCCAACCAAACAACAUUAUUUUCAUUUAAUAAUAAAUGUGUUAUAAUUAUUUAUAUUCAUAUAAGAAGUUAUUUGUAUUAAAUAUUCUCAAUUUAUUAAAUAUUGUUUUAGAAUUAAUUUGUAAAUUUUAAAAUAUUUUAAUUAAGUUUUGAAAGUAUUAAUAUUAUAACAAUAAAAUCAUUUCAUUUUUGUAGCUAUCAAUUUAGAUUUUAAAUUUCUGUUCUCAUUUGACAUGGAUUAAAUUGUAAAUACUUGUGUACUCAUCAUAUUGAUAACUUGAUUCUAACAUAUUAAAAACACGCUGAGAUUAUAAAAUUUAAGAGGAUUACUUCUUCUUCUUCUUUUAACAAAUUAGAUUCAAGUUGCCUAUAUAGCAUGGACACAUGUGUUUUAAGUAUGUCCCCUAUCAUAUUUGAGCGAACAUUUAAUGCUCAGGCUAAUGGCUAAGUUAAUAGGAAAAUGGGAUAAAUCUCAAAACUACAUAUAAACUUUGGCAUAACAUAUAAUUUUAUACAUGAAAUUUUAAUUUGAUCUAAUUUUCAUAAAUUAUUAAUAGGGCAUCAUUUUAUGUUUAUAUAUUGUGUAAAUAAAUAAUUAUAUUUAUCCACUACAAAAAUAAAUUGAUGUAUCUAUUUCUUUAAAUACCUCGCAUAUUAAAAUAUAGACAUCACAAAUUCGACUAAUGGAUCAUAGGGCAAAGUCGACUAGUGCGAGGUUUGUAGGAACAUGUAGUUACAUUAUAGCUACUUAGUUGCGAACAAGCAUGAUCAAAGAUAAAUUGUGACUUUCAUUGAAGCAUACAAUAUUCUUUUAACUGUGAUUUCUUUUUCAUAGCAUGAGUUAGACAAUAGUUUGAUUAUUUUAACCCUUUUACUUAAGCUUAUUAUAAAUUUAACAUCCAUAAGUGUUCAAGUCUAUUUUUAUUUUUUAUUUUACUUUUUUAUAUAUUUUUUCUUUCUCAUAUAUAUUGAUUAUAGAUUCGCUCAUGAUAUUGCUUCAAUAGAAGGAACUCCUAAAAGCUUCAAAAAGUUAGUGAGAGCUUACCCCUAUAUAUUUAUAAAAAAAAAUAUGAACAUAAAAAUAUUUAAAUUUUAAAUUUUACACAAUCCGAAAAUACAAAAACUAAAGAGAAUAUGAAAACUAUUAAUAUGUGCUAACCAAAUUAAAUAAAUACGAAAUUAAAUUCACAUACGGUGGCCGAACCAAUCAAUUAAUUGGUUUUCGGUCCAAUUUGUUUGUUGAAUUCAAUUGAAAUAGUUUAAUUUAAUUUAGGGUUUUUAGAUAUGAAAGUUUUAUAUUACAAUAAUUGAAUUUUGAAAUUUUUUUAUAGAUUUUUUAUAUUAUAUAUUUUAACUUAUUUAAAAUGUUUUCAAAUGUUUUCAAAAUAUUAGUUAAAAUUUGUUAACACCGAUCUUAAUUGUCCUUAUUUAUUCACCUUUGAAAACUACAAGGUUUCCAUUAAUCUUUUUACCCUUCAUUUUUGUUAGCUUUUGGCUCUAUUCUUCGGCAGAGCAUAGCAUGCAAUACAAAAAGCAGAGAUCAUACUUGCUACCCUCAUUUGUUUAUCUGCCCACAUAUUCGAUUGGCAUGUAUUUUUCUGAAAGGCAUUUGACAACUUCAAGAAUUUAGAUGCAGAAAAAUAGGUGGUAAUUACUUAAUUGCUUUACAUUUUUAAAAUCAUAAUAAUCUCAUAAUUUCAAAUGAUCUAAUAUAACCUCGUGACUAAGCUGCUUCUUUUUCAGCACGAGUUCAAUGGAAGAGCCAAAAAGCAGGACAUGCAUUCUUCAUCAGCUGAUCUGUCCAUGGCAUUGUGCUCCCAUGAAAUCCUCCUCUCUAUGCACAUUUGUUCUUCCUUUUUCUGUUUUUCUUUGUUGACGAGUCAAUCUGUAUGCAUUCUUCAUCAGCUGAUCUUGGAGCUUGUAUAUAUAGAUGAUUUGUGGACUUAGAGGCACACUUAGUAACUAUUAUUUGAGUGCCACCUUAUGAGUGUUGAUUUUCUCUUGCAUAGCUAAUGUAAGUUGGAAGAGUAUUUAGUUAAUUGUACAAAGGUGAGGUUGCACCAAGUUUGGAGGGUUGGGCAUAAAUAAUUUCAUUGUACUGUGAAGUUUAUAGCGAUUUUAUCUCUAGACAAAGCUCACAAAUGUAGGAUGAGUUUUGAACUGCGGAAACAUCUUGGUUGUGUUCUUUAUUCUCCUUUAUUUUUACUUUUUUGUGUGUCAACUUAAAAAAAAUAUAUACAUUUUUCUCUUUCGGGGUUUCAAAUAAUAAUCCAACACAUGGAAACACAACUAAUUAACAGGCAAUCUUGUGUACAUUAUGUAAGACUAUCAUUUAAUGAAAACGUUGCAGUACCUAAUGAUUGGUUGAAUGCUUAGCAUAGCUCCCUUCAGUUACCAAAUUUUGAGGAUACAAAUAUGGAUGCCCUGCAACCACUGCAUCCCUUUUAGCUUAUUACAAAACAAUUAAACCUAGAUCCAAUGUCUUCUUUAUCUUCCAUUAACUUUUGUAUUUUAGGAAUUUUGUUUUCGUUGAACAGGAAAAUUUUGGGUAAAAUUAAUAUUAUAUGAAGAAAGUUAGUUUAGUUCAACAACUCAAGCAAGGGGAGAAGAGAUGUCUAUAUAUGUUCAAUUUGUACCUUGUGAGCUGUUUUCAAUUAAACUAAGGUAAAGUCUAAUUAAAAAUUUCAAAAAAAUUGAAGGCUUAAUGAAAAUUUUCCAAAUUUAGGGGAGGGGAAUUCUGCCCUGAGUAAUUUUUGAAACUAUAUAGAUCGAGCUGAGUUGUGAUUCUAUAUUUGUGUAUUUGAAUUAAAAAAUAAUUUAUCUAAUAAUCGAUUUGAAUAUUGAACGAAUAAUUCAAUCCUUAAGUAUGUAUAGUUUUAAAUGAAAACUAAAUAUCUAAACAAUUCAAUUGAUCAAUUUUACAACUUAAAUUAUUGUUCUAAUUUUUUUUUCAAUGUUCACAAUAGAAAAAAAAAAAAAAAGCUGUAUGUGAAACGUUUUAAAAAAAUUACAAUUAAGCCCAUGUAAUUUGUUGCACUAUAUAAAUUUAGAAAAUUGAUGUUUGUGAACCUUAAUUUUUGUAUUUUCUUUGAACUCGAAAAAGAAGGAUUUUUGAGCCUCACUUUUUGAAUAAAUAAAACAUGCACUAAUUAGUGAGCCAAGUUUUCGAAUGCUACAUUUAUUUAUUCAUUAUUAUGAAAUUAAUAUUUUCUUAUUUUGUUUUUUAACAAAAAGGAAAAUAUAAUAUUUAGGUAAAAAAGAAAAUUCUACAUUAGAAUCAUAAAAGAUGCACACUUUUAAGAUAUUAAAUUAAUGGAUUUUUAUGUUUAAUGUAUGAUAUAAUUAUAUUAUACACCCAAUAAGAUUAUUUUAUUAGAAAGUAAAAUUAUUUAUUCAUUAAAAAUAUUAUAAUAUAAUAUCGUUUUAUUCAUUAAUUGUUAAUUGUAUGACAUUAAAUAAAAUUAUUAAAUUAAUUAUAAGAAGGAUAAAAAGGAAAAAAUGUAAUGCUUUUUAUUUAAUUAUGCUACUUGGUGGGUGGAUGGUAAUAUCUAUAAAUAUACUCAAGUCUCUGCAUGUAUGGAUCCACAUUUGUGUUUCAUCUUGUUCCAAUCAUUCUCAUUUUACUCCUCCUCUUGCAAUAACCCUUCUUUGCUUGAUUUCUGUUUGAACCAGCAAUGGCCGAAGCAAUUGCAUUCGACCUCGCCCUAGAGCUUAUUACUAAGUUGAGCUCUUGUGCUCUCUCUCAAGUUGGGCUGUGGUGGAAUCUAAAACAUGACAUCCACGACCUCAAACGCACUGUCUGUCAAAUCAAAGCUGUGCUUCUUGACGCUGAAGAGAAAUCGGUGACCGACAAUCUCGUCAAAGUUUGGCUUGAAGAGCUGAAAUAUGUACUUUAUGAUGCCGACGACUUGCUCGAUGAUUUCUCUACUGAAGCUUUGCGGAAAGAUGUAUCGGGUGGGAACAAGCUGGCGAAAGAGGUACGCCUUUUCUUCUCAACCUCAAACCAAUUUGCUUAUGGUCUCAAAAUGGGUCGGAAAAUGAAGGCCAUUAAGGCGAGAUUAACUUCAAUUGAAAGGGAGGCCAACACUUUUGGCUUCAUUCCGCGUGAUCGCCCCGCGGAAACCUCUUUCAUGACUAAAAGGAGGCAGCAAACGCACUCUUUUGAGCGUGAAGAUGACAUAAUAGGGAGGGAUGAUGAUAAAGCAGCUCUUCUAAAACUCGUGUUGGAGUUUCAAAGUGAAGAGAAUGUUUAUAUCAUUCCAAUUGUGGGGUUUGGAGGGUUAGGGAAGACUGCUUUGGCCCAACUUGUCUAUAACCAGGAAAUGGUCAAAAAUCAUUUUGACUUAACGAUGUUUGCGUGUGUUUCAGAUGAUUUUGAUGUGAAAGUUAUUGUAGCAAACAUUAUCAAAUCUGUGACUCAUCAAGCACCUGAUCAAAAUCUUGAAAUGGAUCAAUUGCAAAAACAACUUCGAGAUAAAAUUGAUGGGAAAAAAUAUUUGCUUGUUUUGGAUGACAUUUGGAAUGAGGACCCAGAAAAGUGGUCUAGGC